rnacentral:lncRNA from 1 species
AAUUUGGAGAUUGUUAGGUGAGUUUUGACAUUGGAAUUGGAUAAAUCGUAAGCUUAAGUACUGAAAUUGACGAAUUGUAAUGGAUUUUGGGUGAAUUGUAAUGUCCAGGUUUUGAGGGGAUUGUUGCUGGUUUGGAGGUGUUUCCAGCUAUGCUACUUGUGAUCCGAGACCGUGUUGCUGCCAGAGGAAUCGCGCUUGAGGUGGGUUUGCAUCAGAUUACUCCUAAGUAAUGAGUAGAUGUUUAGUCGACAUGUAUGUUUUGUUGUUCGGUUUACAAUGUGAUUAGAUUAAAUUCAGUGAUAAGCUGUGGCUGUAACCUAAAUUUAAGCAUACUAAAUAAGUGACAUUUACACAUGUCGGACUUGAAAAAUUGACUUAGGAGAAAACCUGCGUUUUGACCCGUCAUAUGCUUAAACUACCAGAUUUAGCUCUAGGAGCCGUGGGUUGACUGUAUCGUUGCAAUAUCAAUGCGAUGGAUACCUGGGGUAGUUUAGAAGGCAUUUACGCUCGUGCUGGGGUGCCGAGCUUAUUUUUCAGCAGAGUCUAGGCUGUUUCGGAUCGUUGGGUGCCGUCCGGGUUGGCGGACCCAGAUUCUUGUUUUGGUUCCAGAUUGUGCCGAGGGCACGUGGGUUUGGUUUGUAGACCUGUUUUGACCCUGUUUACAUGACUUUGGCUAGUUGGAGUCUGAUUGAGCUCGACAGAGAUACGCUGCAUACUCGAUUGGGUAGCUCCCACGAGUGCCACUCCGGAGACGGGCGCUGUGCUUUCGCGUUGAUAUCGCUCAUACCGGUUGGACUUGCUCUCCACGGACUAGUAGUGUGGAGGUAGCUGGACAGUCACAACUGGGCAGGGACGGGGGUGUUCAUAGUCCCAGGGACGGGUAUGCUUACAGUUCCUAUUGGAUUGAGUCAGAUUUGACAUUUCCUACAGUUGGUUAGUGUAGAGCAUGAUAGUAUAGUGAUCCAUAGCGGUAGAUUUCAUUUCUGCAUUUACUACUAUCUUUGCUCCCUUCUGUAGACUUAGUGGGUGGACCGAUGUUGUUGAGGGCGGCACCCACUGAGGACUACCUGUUUUUACAGUAGUUCUCACGCCCUGUUAUUACAGUAGUUCUCACGCCAGUGCGAGUAGCUCUGUAUUUUCGGUAUUGAACUAUGUAUAUGGAACUCCGUUUGUUUAGCUUCUGUUUACUCUAGCAGCUCUAUACUACUGUUUGUAGUAUUGUAUGGUUUACAGGUACUGCUAUCGCUUCGUAUACAGGGGAAAUUCCUUUGUAUACGGCGGAUUUGUCGGCGUGCCCGGGGACGUGUAAUCCGGAGCGUGACAGAUUAAAUUAGUAUCAGAGCUUAGCACUAGGUCGUUGGGACCUAGAAAAUCUAAGUUUGGCAAACCUUAGGAAGGUAAGAUGCGAGAGGCGUAAUUUAUUGCGAAAGUCAAUGAUUAAUUGUUCUAACUCCUUUCAGAGUGGGGUGAGUGAUUGAAGGAGUUCCUGUUUUGCCCUGAGCAAUUAUGUUGGCUGCAGACAACAUAAUUUUGGAGGAAAACAGGGACCGCCUUCCAGACUUUCGUUGAUUGGGUCGAGAGUGUUUAUGUUUCAUCUGACCCCGAUCUGUUCUUUUCAGCUAUGUAUCGUCGCCGAGGUCGACCGUCGUUACGGGAGCGUGCCCAGUUGUCGCAGGAUCGUGCGGGACCUUCCGAGAUGCUCGAGCAUGCGGAGCCGAGUACCCAGCGGGAGCAGAGUGUUCGACCAGAGACGAGUACAUCUCCGGACUUGAGUGCACAGUUAGCCGCCCUGACAGAGGUGACGAGGCGGCAGGAGGAGUUGUUAGAAAGGAUGGGCGAGAGGCUAGCUUCACUCUAGAGUUCAGCACCGAGGGCACCAGAGUCGUCUGUUCCACCUCCUAUUACUCCAGUGACAGCACCAGUUGCAGCAGUACCUCCGCCAGCAGCCGUUCUAGUAGCGCCAGUUGCGCCUGCUGGGGGGCCAGUACAGUUGACAGAGGCAGAGCAGGAGCGGUGGACGGAGAGGUUGGCUCGUUUUCGCCGUUUGAUCCACCGAUUUUCGAUGGCAGUUGCACUGAGGCCUGGGUUGUUGAGGGAUGGGUCAGUGCGAUGGAGAAGUUAUUUGAGGAUCUGUUCAUUCCUGAGGGGGAGCAGGUGUCUUUGGGAGUCCAUUGCUUGGCAGGUGAUGCCCACGCUUGGUGGAGGAGAGUGAGGAGAGAGCAGGGACUAGUAGUGUUGCAGCUGAGAUGGGAUGAGUUCUGUGGAAUGCUGUUUGGGAUAUUCUUUCCCAACAGUGUGAAACAGAAGCUCGAGGAGGAUUUGAAGAGGAUCCAGCAGGGGGAUCGUCCAGUGCAGGAGUACAUUCGGGAGUUUACUCGACUCCUGAAUGUGUGCCAUUUGUGGCCAGGGACGAGGCACACAGGGUUUAUCUGUUUGAGCAGGGGCUGAGACCCGACAUCUUCAGGUUGGCGCGGACGCAGAGGUCGAGGACUCUGGAUGCGUCCAUAGAGCAGGCCUUAUAGGUGGAGAGAGGUGAGGUGUCGCUACAGGAGAGGACUCAGGCCGUGGGGCAGAGUCAGGAUAGGAAGCGCCCCUUUUCAGAUGAUGCUGGACAGUCGAGCAGCAGGCGUCCGCCGAGGCCUCCACGAUCACGCUCUCAGGGUCGUGGGUUUUCGGGGCGUCAUCGUUCCAGGGGAUCCCGUCCGCAGGGGCAGACUCAGAGGACACCGCAGUGUGUGAUCUGCGGGGGACUACACUGGCCCUGGUAGUGAGAGCAGAGAGAAGGCCGUUGCUAUUCUUGCGGUCAGCCCGGGCAUAUGAGGUCAGUUUGCCCCCGUGCAGCAUCACCAGCGUAAUCCACUGCAUCAGCGCAGCCGGCAUCUCAGCCGUCCUUUGGAGCAGCACCGGGUUUCCGCCAGGAAGAUAGAUCGUCUAUACCGCGUUAGGGGGAGCGACGACAGCAAGCUCCGAGUGGCAGGGUUUAUGCAGCUCAGGUAGUGGAUUCUUCAGCAGCCGACCGUGUGGUGGCAGGUAUCAUUUUGAUUUUAGGCAUUCGUACUCACACUCUUUUUGAUACCGGUGCCACGCAUUCUUUUGUUAGUCGAGCAUUUGCAUUGUUGCAUGGUCUAGAGUUAGGAGUAUUGUCACAGGCACGAAAGGUGCAGAUCCCGGACCAUGUUUUACAGGUUGCAAAGUGUUGUUGGUCGUGUCCGGUGCAGUUAGACUCGUGGAUCAUGCCCGCAGACCUGUUGGUGUUAUGGCAGCUGCAGGACUUCGACGUCAUGCUCGGUAUGGAUUGGCUGGCGCGGUACUAUGCUACUAUCGAUUUCCUCCGGAGUUGACGAUGAUGCCGCCGGAGAGGGAGAUAAAGUUUGUGAUUGAUGUGGUUCCUGGAACUGCACCAAUCUCAAAGGCACCUUAGAGGAUGGCACCGGCGGAGCUGAGAGAGCUAAAGGCGCAGCUUCAGGAUUUGAUGGAUAAGGGGUUUGUGAGACCCAGUGUGUCGCCUUGGGGAGCGCCGGUGUUGUUUGUAAAGAAGAAGGAUGGUUCGCUCAGAUUGUGUGUGGAUUACCGGGAGCUAAAUAAGGUGACCAUCAAGAAUAAGUAUCCUUUGCCGUGCAUUGAUGAUCUGUUUAAUCAGCUGCAAGGAUCUUAUGUCUUCUCGAAGAUUGACUUCCAGUCAGGUUACCACCAGUUAAGGGUGAGGGCCGAGGAUGUUUCCAAGACGGCUUUUCGGACUCGGUACGGGCAUUAUGAGUUUACGGUGAUGCCAUUUGGAUUGACGAAUGCCCCUGCCACAUUCAUGGAUUUGAUGAACAGAGUGUUCAAGCUGUUCUUGGACAGGUUUGUGGUAGUCUUCAUUGAUGAUAUCUGAUAUACUCCCGGAGUGAUGCCGAGCAUGAGGAGCACUUGAGGACUGUGCUAUAGCUUCUGAGAGAGAAUAAGUUGUAUGCCAAGUUAAAGAAGUGCGAGUUCUGGUUACGGGAGGUUGCUUUCUUGGGCCACGUGAUAUCAGCAGAGGGAGUAGCAGUUGACCCGAAGAAGAUUGAUGCUAUUCGGGAUUGGCCCAGACCGACGACGGUUACAGAGGUAAGGAGUUUCCUUGGGCUUGCUGGUUAUUACCGUCGGUUUGUGGAAGGCUUUGCGAAGCUUUCCACACCCCUCACUCGUUUAACGCAAAAUGAGAUUAGAUUCAUCUGGAGUGAGGAUUGCCAGAGGAGCUUUGAUGAGUUGAGACAGAGGUUGACGUCAGCUCUUAUCCUUACCCUUCCUAUGAUGGGGGAAGGAUUUGUGAUCUACAGUGAUGCAUCGCACAGUGGACUGGGUUGUGUGCUGAUGCAGCAUGGUAGGGUAAUUGCUUAUACUUCACGGCAGUUAAAGAAUUAUGAGAAGAAUUACCCUACACAUGACUUGGAGCUUGCCGCGGUAGUCUUUGCUUUAAAGUUGUGGCGGCAUUACUUGUACGGUGAGCACUGCGAGGUUUUUACUGAUCAUAAAAGUCUCAAGUAUCUGUUCACCCAAAAGGAGUUGAAUCUGAGGCAACGCCGGUGGUUGGAGUUGCUGAAGGACUAUGAUAUUAGUAUUCAGUAUCAUCCCGGCAAGGCAAAUGUAGUGGCAGAUGCGUUGAGCAGGAAGGUAGUGUAGAGCUGGAGCAUGUUGAUCACUCGGCAGAGACCGUUACUCGAGGAGCUGCGGCGGCUGAGGCUCGAGGUAGUGUCCCCAGAAUUUACUCCGAGACUGAUGUCUAUGAUCUUGCAGCCCACUCUGUUGUAUAGGAUUCGAGAGAAACAGAGUGGAGACCCGCACUUGUCGAGGAUUCGAGAGCAGCUUGAGAGGGGACAGGCCGAGGGCUUUGUUGUGGAUAGUUCGGGAGUACUGCGGUACAGGGACCGACUGUGUGUACCUAUGGAUUAGGAGAUCCGAGAGGACAUUUUGAGAGAGGCUCACUGUUCACCUUAUACGGUUCACCCCGGUGGAACCAAGAUGUAUAAGGAUUUAAAGGCUCAGUUUUGGUGGAAUGGAAUGAAGAGGGACAUUGGUAGAUUUGUGGCUCAGUGUCUGACUUGUCAAUAGGUAAAGGCCGAGCAUCAGGUACCUGCUGGCAAGCUUCAGAGUCUGGCAGUACCCGAGUGGAAAUGGGAGCAGAUUACGAUGGACUUUGUCGUCGGAUUGCCGAGAGCACAGGGUGGUUUUGAUGUGAUUUGGGUGAUAGUGGACAGACUGACCAAGUCUGCUCACUUCUUACCAGUGCAGACCACUUGGUCCAGAGAGAGACUCGCUCAGUUGUACUUGGAUGAGAUAGUGAGGUUGCAUGGCGUGCCCACUUUGAUAGUAUCCGACCGAAACCCGAGAUUCGUCUCGCACUUUUGGAGGUGUCUUCAGACGGCCUUGGGCACUCUGUUGCAGUUCAGCACAGCGCUUCACCCACAGACAGAUGGUCAGUCAGAGCGGACCAUUCAGACUCUAGAGGACAUGCUGAGGGCCUGUGUCCUAGACUUUGGAAGAGGGUGGUAUCGGCAUUUGAGACUGGUUGAGUUUGCGUACAACAACAGCUAUCAAGCGAGCAUCCAGAUGGCUCCGUUUAAGGUGUUGUAUGAAAGCAGAUGUCAAUCCCCUUUGUUUUGGAGUGAUGUGGGUGAGAGGAGGACGCUUGGGCCUGAGAUUCUGAUUGACGCUGAGGAAAAGGUAAAGAAGGCGCGACGGCACAUGUUAGCAGCCCAGAGUCGACAGAGGAGCUAUGCUGAUACUCGGAGACGAGACUUGGAGUUCCAGGUGGGAGAUUGUUUUUCUUAAAGUCUCGCCGUCCAGAGGGAUUCGCCGAUUUGGAGUACGUGAAAAGCUCAGUCCACGUUUUGUAGGCCCUUUCGAAGUAUUGGAGCAAGUCGGGCCAGUGGCUUACAGGAUUGCUCUACUACCAAGACUAGCCGGCAUUCACGAUGUCUUCCACGUCUCGGCUUUGAGGAAAUAUGUGUUCGACCCCUCCCACGUGAUUGACUUCACUCCGCUUGAGAUUGGCAUGGACCUGAGUUACGAGGAACGACCGGUGUGGAUUCUGGCUCGUGAGUCGAGGAAAUUGCGCAACCGGGUCAUACCCUUUGUAAAGGUGCAAUGGAAUAAUCACGAGGAGCGGGAGGCGACUUGGGAGCCGGAGACGGAGAUGAAGGAGUCCUACCCCUACCUAUUUGAAACUCGGGAUUGAGGUAUGUAUUCAGUUUCGCGGAUGAAACUUUUUGUAGUGGGGGAGGAUGUAGUGUUCCUGAGCUUUGGAUAGGAUUGGCUUCAGUAUUAGUGACUGGUCGAUAUCUCUGGAGAGUGUCGGACUGAGUCGAAGUCAAUUCUGUGCGAAUUGGAUGCAGAAUUGGACUCGGUGCACUCAAAUAAGCAAAACUAAAGUUUUGCGAGAUCCGGGCGCCCAGAACAUGGUUUAGGUCGCCCAGAACUGAGUGUUAAAAUUUAACUGAAACUGGAGCCAAUUCGGAUCCUAUGUUCCGGGCGCCCAGAAGUGGGUCCGAAAAUUCUACAUCGUGAAUAUCGUUUGCUUCGACGCGUGGCAGGGUGGUAGGUGAGGUCCGCCGAAGCCGUUUACGGGCGCAGCACACCGCGAGCCGAGAAUCCGAGGAGGAUGAUUUGUGCAGCCUGGAUGUUUCAGUCGCCCAGAACAUGGUUCCGGGCGCCCAGAACAUGGUUCCGGGCGCCCAGAAAUGCCCAUUUCAGCAGGGACACCGGAUUGCAGCUGUUUCUCUUGGGGCUUAUUUUAUCCCUCCAGCACCCUAUAAAUACCUGGUAUACGUCCCCUUUGAGAUCUUUUUACCUGUUCUUCACAGAGAACUUAGAUUUUGCUCCUUAAUCCCUCCAAUCUUUCCAAAUUGCAUCAAGAUCCACAUCUCCAAGAGUUGCGAGGUACUGAUUCUGUAGUUUUCCCAGCGACGACCUUCAGUGUUUUGGCUUGUGCGCGACGUAGGGAUAUCGGAUUUUGACGAAACUUGGUUUGCUAGAUUCUAGACUUUCAGAGGAAUCCACGAAGCCCUGACUUGCAGAAUUUAGUGAAGGUUAGCUCAGUCGAACUCAGGUUUUCCUCUGCUGCUGUUGAUAUGGACAGAAUUGCAUGUUUUUGAGUUUUCUUGGGGUGAACUUUGGAAGCCGGGGCUUUGUGGAGUUGAGUCACAUCCCCUACCAACCAAUACUGGAAUUGGGACCAUCUUCACCUGAUUUGGAGAUUGUUAGGUGAGUUUUGACAUUGGAAUUGGAUAAAUCAUAAGCUUAAGUGCUGAAAUUGACGAAUUGUAAUGCAUUUUGGGUGAAUUGUAAUGUCCAGGUUUUGAGGGGAUUGUUGCUGGUUUGGAGGUGUUUCCAGCUGUGCUACUUGUGAUCCGAGACCAUGUUGCUGCCAGAGGAAUCGCGUUUGAGGUGGGUUUGCAUCGGAUUACUCCUAAGUAAUGAGUAGAUGUUUAGUCGACAUGUAUGUUUUGUUGUUCGGUCUACAAUGUGAUUAGAUUAAAUUCAGUGAUAAGUUGUAGCUGUAACCUGAAUUUAAGCAUACUAAAUAAGUGACAUUUACACAUGUCGGACUUGAAAAAUUGACUUAGGAGAAAACCUGCGUUUUGACCCGUCAUAUGCUUAAACUACCAGAUUUAGCUCUAGGAGCCGUGGGUUGUCUGUAUCGUUGUAGUAUCAGUGCGAUGGAUAUCUGGGGUAGUUUAGAAGGCAUUUACGCUCGUGCUGGGGUGCCGAGCUUAUUUUUCAGCAGAGUCUAGGCUGUUUCGGGUCGUUGGGUGCCGUCCGGGUUGGCGGUGGACCUAGAUUCUUGUUUUGGUUUCAGAUUGUGCCGAGGGCACGUGGGUUUGGUUUGUAGACCUGUUUUGACCCUAUUUACAUGACUUUGGCUAGUUGGAGCCUGAUUGAGCUCGACAGAGAAACGCUGCAUACUCGAUUGGGUAGCUCCCACAAGUGUCACUCCGGAGACGGGCGCUGUGCUUUCGCAUUGGUGUCGCUCAUGCCGAUUGGACUUGCUCUCCACGAACUAGUAGUGUGGAGGUAGCUGGACAGUCACAACUGGCCAGGGACGGGUGUGUUCACAGUCCAAGGGACGGGUAUGCUUACAGUCUCGAUUGGAUUGAGUCAGAUUUGACAUUUCCUACAGUUGGUUAGUGUAGAGCAUGAUAGUGUAGUGAUCCAUAGCUGUAGAUUUCAUUCCUGCAUUUACUGCUAUCUUUGCUCCCUUCUGUAGACUUAGUGGGUGGACCGAUAUUGUUGAGGGCGGCACCCACUGAGGACUACCUGUUUUUACAGUAGUUCUCACGCCCUGUUAUUACCCCCUGUUUUUGCAGAGCCACCAUCGUCGGCUGCUGCUGUCGCAGAUCAGGAUCGAGGCAAGGGCGUCACGAGUUAGAGCCCUACCAGACGUGCCGAGCUAGAGGUACCCUUACUGCAGGUAGAUGUUUUGCUUUGAGUUCAUGUACAUAGUAUGCUUAACUCGCCAGUGCGAGUAGCUCUGUAUUUUCAGUAUUGAACUAUGUAUAUGGAACUCUGUUUGUUUAGCUUCUGUUUACUCUAGCAGCUCUAUACUACUGUUUGUAGUAUUUUAUGGGUUACAGGAACUGCUAUCGCUUCGUAUACAGGGAAAAUUCCUUUGUAUACGGCGGAUUUGUUGGCGUGCCCGGAGAACGUGUAAUCCAGGGCGUGACAGGUGAGGUCCGCCGGAGCCGUUUACGGGCACAGCACACCGCGGGCGGAGGAAUCGAAGGGGAGCAUUUGUGCAGGCUGGAAGUUCUGGGCGCCCAGAACUUGGUUUAGGGCGCCCAGAUCUCGGAUUUUCUGCAGGGAUAGCAGGUUUCAACAAUUGUUCCUGAGGGUUAUCUGACCACUCCAGCACCCUAUAAAUACCUGGUGUACAUCCCCUUUGAGCUCUUUUCACCUGCCCUUCACAGAGAACCCUGAAUUUGCUCUUCAAUCCCUCAAAUAUUCUUAAUUUGCAUCAAGAUCCACAACUCCAAGAUUUGCAAGGUGCUGAUUCUGCAGUUUUUCCAGCGACGACCUUCAGUGUUUUGGCUCGUGCGCGACGUAGGGAAGUCGGAUUGCGACGAAACUUGGUUUGUUGGAUUCUAGACUUCCAGAGGAAUCCAGGAAGCCUUGAAUUGCGGAUUUUGGUUAAGGUUAGCUCAGUCAAUUUCUCAGGUUUCUGGACUGUUGUGGUUUUGGACCUGAUUUUUGGAUUUCUUGAAUUUUCUUGAUACGAUCGUUGGAAACAGGGGGAUUUUGGACCUGAGACUCAUACUCCAUCACUACUCACUGCUUUUGGAACUCCACCUCAACUGAUUUGGAGUCGGAUGGUAAUGUUAGCAUUACAAGUGGAUAAUUUAGCUUAAGUGCUGAAAUUUUAGUUGUAUUGAUGGAUUUUGGAUCUUGUUAAAGUCUAGAGUUUGGAGAACUCUUGUUACUGUCUUGGAGGAGCUUCGGUUGAUCCAGCAGAGGAAGUCCUUGUGGUUCGAGACCUCCUUGCUGUCAGGAAGUGCUUUAGAGAUGGGUUACAUCGGUUUAUUCCAAAGCACAGUAUUAGUCGACAUGCAUGAUUUCCAGUUUUUGUAAAUCAUAUUGUAGCUCAAUUUCGUUGAUUGUAUCAUGGAUGAAAUCAGUAUUGAGGACAUGAUUAGUAAACCAUAAAUAUACAUGUUCGACUUGGAUUUGACUUAGGAGAAAACCGCGAGUAUAACCUGUCAUAUGCUUAAACUACCUGAUUUAGCUCUAGGAGCAGUUGUAAUUUUGUAUCGUUGCAGUAUCGAUAUGACGGAUACCCCAGGUAGUUUAGAGUUCAGUUACGCUCGUGCUGGGAUGCCGAGUGUAUUUUUACAGUAGCAUUAAGGCUGUUCCGGACUGUUGGGUGCUGUCGAAGUUGACGGUGGACCCAUAUCGCCUUUUUGGCGUCGGAUUGUGCCGAAGGCACGUGACCUGUUGGUUGUUAGACCAGUUAGAGUCGGUUACUUGGACUUUGGCUUGAGAGAGCCUGAUUGAGCUCGACAGAGAUACGUUCCAUACUCAAUUGGGUAGCUCCCACGAGUGCCACUCCGGAGACGGGCGCUGUGCUUUCGCAUUGAUGUCGUGCAUGCCGGUUAGACUUGCUCUCCACGGACUGGAUAGUGUGGAGGUAGCUGGAUAGUCCCAACUGGGUGGGGCUGGUGUGUUCACAGUCCCUGGGACGGGUAUAUUUACAGUCCCUAAAGAGAUUAGGUCAGAUUUGACAUUACUACAGCAGGUCAGCUUAGAGCAUGAUAGUGUAAUAAAUGGUAGCUGUAGAUUUUAUUCCAGCAUUUAUUCUACCUUUGCUCCCUUCUGUAGACUUAGUGGGUGGACCGAUAUUGUUGAGGGCGGCACCCACUGAGAACUACUUGUUUUUACAGUAGUUCUCACGCCCUGUUGUUACCCCGUUUUUGCAGAGCCAUCGUCUUCGGCUGCUGCUGUUGCGGAUCAGGAUCGAGGCAAGGGCGUCGCGAGUUAGAGCUCUACCACUACAACAAAAGCGGUCUAUAGCGACACUUUUAAAUGUAGGUACAUGUCAAAAAAGUGCUGCUAGCUAAAAUUACCGACACUUUUAAAAAGUGUUGCUAUAUGUGGGGUCGGUAGGUAUAUAGUAACAGUUAAAGUGUGUCGCUAUAAUCUAAAAGAGUGCUGCUAAUUUACAAAUACUUAUUUAAGCAUUUAGCAACCGCCGAAACUCUAUCUCGUUGGCUGCGGUGGCGGAGGAGGACGACAGGAAAGGCUCUUCGUCUAGAAUUUCAAUGGAUUGAGUGAAGAGAGAAGAAAAGAUGGUAAUUGAUUUUUCUUUUUUUUUUCUUUUCUGUUUGUAAUCGGGUCCAAUGGACUGGAUGUGGUGGGUUGAGUAGAGUAAUCUUUUAUUUUUGGUUGGAUUGGGCUUUAUAUUUAGGCAUAAGUAGAUGUUUUUUUAAGUUUUAGCAUAAAUGGGACACUUACUCAAAAGUGUCUCAAACAUGUGUCCCUAUAACCUAAUUCUGUUGUAGUGUACCCGACGAGCCGAGCUAGAGGUGCCCCUACUGCAGGUAGUUGUUUUGUUGGAGUUUAUGUACAUACAGUUAUUUUAACUCGCUAGUGCGAGUAGUUUCGUAUUUUGGAUUUGAUGUAUGUAUAUGGAACUCAGUUUGUGUUUAGUUUCUGGUUCUUCUAGCAGCUCUAUACUACUGUUUGUAGUAUUGUCUGUUAUACAGGUACAGUUAUCGCUUCGUAUACAGGGGAAAUUUCUUUGUAUACGGCGGAUUUGUCGGCGUGCCCGGGGAUCGAGUAAUCCGGGGCGUGACAGCGUAUAUAUUGCUAAUCCCUAUAUCAAGCAGCCAUAUUCGCGAUAAGCUCGACAUGGUCAAACCCAGCAUUUCAAAUCGAAUCCUUUUUAUUGGGUUGAUUGAGCAGCCAUCUUCGUAAUAGGCUAGGCAUGAUCAAACCCGCGCACAAAAAAUAAUAAAACAAAAAAACAACAAAUAAUUUUAAAAAUGAGCAUAUUGUGAUUUGCCAUCUUCGUGAUAGGCAUUGUUCGAACCAUUCGUCAUCUUCAUGAGAGGCACGGUUCGACUCGAUCAAUUUGUCAUCUUCGUGAUAGACAUUGUUCGAAUCAUUUGCCAUCUUCGUAAUAGGCAUGGUUCGACUCGAUCAAUUAGCCAUCUUCGUGAUAGGUACUAUUCGAACUAUAUGCCAUCUUCGUGAUAUGCACGAUUUGGCUUGAUCAAUUAACCAUCUUCAUGAUAGACACUAUUCGAACCAUAUGCCAUCUGUGUGAUAGGUACGGUCCGAUGUGACCACAUUGUCGUGAUAGGCACAUGUUCGAUCAAAUUGCCAUCUUCGUGAUAGGCAUUACUCAAUUUAAUCGAACCUAAUGUUUAGGACGGGUUGUCUAAGCGACGUCCUCUGAGUGCAACAUAAAGAUUGAUGAUUCAUGAAUUUGGCAUUGAUUUUAGACCGGACCAAAUCAAUUCGAAUUGAAUCCGACAUGAAAAAAAGGAACUGUUUAGAAUUAAUUAAUUCAUAAAUUUAAAGGAGCCUAAUCUACAAUUCACUUAUGUGCUCAAUGAACAAAAUCCAACAUACAAGGCCCAAAUAUCAUAGACUCAACCCAUACGCAGUCCAUCAACAAAACUAAAUUCAAUCCAGCCCAAAACCUGAAUCCAGCCCAUAUACAAUGCAGAUUCAGUCUAUAUACGGGCCCUGCAUAUAGCCCGUAUGCAAAUAUAUAUAGGCCCAAUCUACUCACGGGCCCUGAAUCCAGCUCGUAUACAAUGCUGGCCCAGUUGCUUAUGGAUUGAAAACCCAGUCCACAUAAAAAUAAAGUCCAGUCUACAUAUGGGCUCCAAAUUUAGCCCACAUGCUAAUAAAGCACAAAAUUAGAUUCAGAACCUAGUCCAUAUAUAAAUAUAUUCCUUGAUUCAGUCUAUAUGCAAAUUCGGGUCCAAAACCCAUAAAACCGAAAGUCCACAAUAAAAUCCAACCUAAUCUAGUGCGGCUUAUCAAACCAUCAAAACCCAAGAGCAUAAAACCCAAAACGACCAAACCCGUAUCAUCCAAAAUGCCUUCAACCCAAACAAAAAAAAAUGGGCUUCCAAAUGCCUUCAACUCAAACAAAAAAAUGGGCUUCUAUCACGAACUAAUUUCAUGAAUCAAAAAAGAGGUGCUAUCAUGGACUACCUUCAGGAAUCAAAAAUGGGAUUUCAUCAUAGGCUCAUAUCAUGAACUAACUUCAUGAAUCAAAAAGGGAUUUCUAUCAUGAGCUAAAGAUAGCUUUCCGCCAUAAUGAGCUUUCAUCAUAAACUCAUAUUGUAACGACUCGAUCCGGUAGCAACAAUAAUUCGUUGGGCCCAAACCAUUGGCCUAAAAUGCUUAAGCCCAGUUAUUAUUACUAGUAUGUAGGCUUCAUAUAUUCUAAUCAAAAUUAUUUUUCCAUCUGAUGUGGGGCUAUUGGGGAGUUUGUGGAAUCAUUUUUCUAUCUGAUGUAGGACUAUUGCGGCGUUAUAAACUCCCCUUGUUUAGACCCUGAUCCGAUGAGAGACUAUUGGAAAGUUCGUGGAAUCAUUUUCCUAUCCAAUGUAGGACUAUUGCAGCAUUACAAACUCCCUCUGUUUAGACUCUGACCUAAACCAAAUCACAGAUGCAGACCAGAAUUACCAAGCAAUAUGAGAUUCUAGAGGUGGCUUCUACGGGUUCAAGAGGUGGUUCCCAUCAAACCCAUUGGUGUAGCACUUUGUCCACCAUAGCACUUAGCUCUCACACUUCCGGUUGACAUUCGGCUCUAAUGCCAAUUGUAACGACCUGAUCCGCUAGCAACAAUAAUUCGUUGGGCUAAAACCACUGGCCUGAAAUACUUAAGUUAAGUUAUUAUUACUAUCGUGUAGACCUCAUAUAUUCUAAUCAGAAUCAUUUUUCCAUCCGGUGGACUAUGGGGGAGUUUGUAAAAUCAUUUUUCCCACCGAUGAGAGACUAUUGGGGCGUUACACAUAUGAACUAAAUACGGAGUGCCUUCAACCAAAUUGUAAGGGUUCGAUCUAAAUCAAAUCCCAACGGGUUCUGACCCAAAGUAUAGCGAUUCAGCCCAAACCAAUCUAAAAAAGGCCAAACAAGCCUAAGGUGGCUCAACACAAAUCAAAUACAAGGGGAUCAAAUUAAUUCAACCUGAACUCAACUAGAAUGAUCCAAAUAAAGUAAACCAAAGAUUAAGUAAACCAGCUCCGCUCGAACUGAAAUAGAUCAACGGUUCAGACUGAGCUGAAUCAAAUUAAUCGAUCGAGUCAACUGAAUCAACUCACAAGCCAGAUUUAAAUGACUGCAAAGUCUUUAUACUAAGCAACCCAAAAUCAAAUGACCACAAAGUCUUUAAACUAAACAAUCCAAAUUCAAGUGCGCAAGACGUUAAACUAAGCAAGUCAAAAUCAAACUCUACUCAAAUCGACCACCAUAUCUUUAAACUAAGCAUCUCAACUUCAAGCUGACCACCGCAUCAUUAAACUGAGCAACACAACUUAAACUAACCGCCAAGUCGUUAAACUGAGCAAACGAAAUUCGAACUCAAAUUGACGGCUAAGUCGUUAGUCUGAGCAAAUUAAAUUUAAACUCAACUCAAUUUAACCGCUAAAUUGUUAAACUGAGAAAAUUAAAUUUAAAUUCAACUCAACUCUACUGCUAAGUCCAUAAACUGAGUAUUAAUGCUUUACAAAAUUCAUGUAAAGUGGGGGUAAUGCUUUACAAAAUUCAUGUACAGUGGGAGUAUGCCUCUGCUUAAGCCAUGUACAUAGCAAAUCAUAUUAAUAAAAUUUUAUCUUCAUGCUUUGGUCUCGUUUAUUAUCAGCAUUCAUGUUCGGUCUCUUAAUCGAAGGUUCCUUAAUACUGUCAAUGUGGAUAAUUAACAGCAGAUUCUUGAACCUGCUGGAAGCCAUUAACCAACAAUCCUGAUUUCAAGACAAAACUUAAAUAAAUUUAAUCUGUACCAUAAAUGACCACUCGUCGGAGAAAAGCUUGCGGCGGGGCCGCUUCGUUCGUGGCGGCAGACAUGCUGUAAAAGGAAGUCUUCUCCUCCAUUUUAAUCAAGCCAAAUGAAGGCCAAUUCAAUGGCCAUAUUAUUUGAAGGUUCUGAUGUUUAAGUCCUUUUUGUCUCUUAUUUUCAGUAGCCUUCUAUUACUUCUCUACCUAGUACAAGUCAAAAAGAAUUUAAAAGGAAAAUGCGGCACUACAGGUUAAAGUAGCCAACCAACUAAAUAACCUACUCAUCUCUUCACUCUUUCUCCUAGAUCUGAACCACAUAAAUUAAUAUUCACUACAUAAACUAAUAGGCAAGAACUAAAUGUGGUAUGAAUUACAAAAUUCUAUUCAAACAUUAAUCAUACUAAACUACUCAAUGUAUAGCACCAACUAGAACAAACUUCUAAUCUGUUGCUAUUGUUGAUGCAGGAUGAAAUUGGAAUCUUAAAAUGAACUUUUAAGUCAUUUAAGAUUCAAAACUUAAAUUGAUUGAGAGUUACGAUCUCCAAAUUAUGCUCAAGUACCUUCUUAAGCUGACUUCAAGAACCCGAAAGGAGAAAGGAAGAAAUGAAAAAAAUGAUAAGAAAAAAGUGGAAGUACUUGAGCAGAAAAACAAAAUUGAGCAUAUAUUUUAAGGAUUUUGAAGCAUCUAAUUUGGAAAUGGUCGAAAAGCCUCUGAAUUUGUUCACAGCUUUAGUUUCUUUCUACACGUUUUCUUCUAAAUUUCUCUCAGCAAAUCUUUAGCCUUCGUUUGUAUAGAUUAAAAAAGAAAAAACCAGCUUCAUUAUCUGGAUCCACAAAAUUGAUUCCCUACUUUCUGCAGGGGUCUGACAUUUAAGAAGCAACAUGAAAUAAUUGAGAGGUCAAGAAGUAUAGUUUUACGUUAAAAAAAGCCGUGUUAAAAGAUUUAAGAACAUUUAAAGUAUCAACAACAUAAAGAAUAACAAUGAGUAUGAUACAACAAUAACAAUAAUGAACGAUAAAAGUAAGUUUAUAAUUAGUAUUAUAAUUAAUAGAUAAAGGAUGAUAAAGGGAAAAAAAGAAAAGAAAGGAAGAGUAUACAUAUAGAUCAAAACUAACUCCUGAAAGUUAUAGGAUCCACGUCUAUAGGAUUAACAACUUACACCUUCAUUAUGAGAUCACGCCAGAAAGCAGAAUGCAUCUUUAUUUUGAAAUUCCUGAGAGUACAAAACUGUAUGUAAUUAAAUAGUUUUCCAAAAUAACUGAAAUACCUCUCAGCAUCCUUGUAUUGAUUAACUCUAAGGUUGGAAUAAUGAUCUUGUAGAUGAAAUCAGGAAGAAGAUUCACGGCACAAAGCAAGGGGAGAUGACUAUUGGAUAGUAUUUCGCAGCAUGGAUUUAAGUGCCGUGGCAAGGGGUCAUGCUGGAAACUUGCCAGCACGGUACGGCACGGUGCGUGCAGGUAACAAAAAAUACAUGUGUGCUGACACAUAAUGACAUGAAAUAUUUAUUUUCUUUAGCACACUACAACAAAAACGGUCUAUAGUGACACUUUUAAAUAUCGGUACAUGUCAAAAAAAGUGCUGGCUAAAUUACCGACACUUUUAAAAAGUAUUGCUAUUUGUGAGUUUGCUAGGUAUACAGUGACAAUUAAAGAGUGUCACUAUAACCUAAAAAGAGUGCUACUAAUUUACCAAUACUUAUUUAAGCAUUUAGCAACCGUCGAAACUCUACCUCGUUGGCUGCGGUGGCGGAGGAGAACGAGAGGGAAGGGCUCUUCGUCUAGAAUUUCAGUGAAUUGAGUGAGGGGAGAAGGGAAGAUGGUAAUCGAUUUUUUUUUUUUCUUUUCUCUUUGUAAUCGGGCCGAAUGGACUAGGUGGGGUGGGUUAAGUAGAGUAACCUUUUACUUUUUGUUGGAUUGGGCUUUAUAUUUAGGAAUUAAUAGAUAUUUUUUUAAGUUUUGGCAUAAAUGGAACACUUACACAAAAGUGUCCCAAACAUGUGUCUCUAUAACCUAAUUCUGUUGUAGUGGCAACAAAGUUUUCUAGCGGUUUAUUAUGUAUCAUUAUCAAAUUUUUUGAACUUUAUUUGAGAUAAUUACUUAGUAAUUUGAAGAAUACAGGGUUUUGAGAUGUGCCAUCGGCACAGGGGGUUGUAUUGUGCCGAUAUUUUGUUGGCACGAUACCACACGAUAGAUACGGCCUGUGCCGAUGGGCACUUAAAUCCUUGCUUCGCAGUGUCUGCUAGUCUGUAGUAGGAGAUGGACUACUAUCAAGAUAUCCACAGUGGCUGCACAGGAGAUGCAAUCAAGUUUCAGAGGGUUUAAGAUUUCUCGGCUGGCCUACAACCUGAAUUUGAUCAAAUCAAGUUCAUGUCUAGGAAAGGAUCCUUUCCUGUCAGUACGGAAGACAUGCAUUUGUAGAGCAAGAGGAGAGCAGAUACCUGAUAAGUUAGCCUUGUUCAUCAAUUUCUUCCUCGAAGAAUGUAAAGGGAAAUCGGAUUAGAGGAAUUGAUAAAAGAAUGGCCAAAAAGAUCAGCAUAAAUGUGAUCACUGUGGGAGAACUGAACACACUUCGUCGACUGAUGUCUAAGCUUGCUUCAAUUCUACUUUCUCCACUAUCCAAUACUGCCACUGCUAAUUGUGCUUUGUUAGAUAUAGCUAUUAGUGCUUCUAGUUGCACGCGUAACAUAUUUCUCACCUCAAUUAUUGAUAGUUUAUUGGAUCAUUUCUUAUCCUACUUUCCUUCUUUAGGUUAGGAAAAAAAAAUUCAUAUUGCUAAUGGUUCCUAUCUUCUAUUUUUGGGAAAGGUUCCAUAGCAUACUUCUGAUCUAACCUUGUCCUCUAUUCUUCACGCUCCUAAUUAUCCAAACAAUCUUUUAUAUAUAAAUGUAAUAACUAGGGAUCUUAACUAUAACAUGAUCUUUUUUUCUUUUCAUUGGGUUUUUUAGAAACUGGAUAUGGGGAAAAUAAUUGUCUGUGGAAAGAUGCAUGAUAGGCUUUAUCUCCUAGAAGAAGGAACAGAUUGAUUAUAUAGAGUUAUAGACAUCAUUCUGCUCUCCCGAUUGAUGCGACAUCAGCCUGUCAAGAGAUACACCAAUAGCAUCGACGACUUGGUCAUCCUUCCUUUAGAAUAUUGAAACAAAUGAUUCCUCAGUUGUUUCAGCACUGUAAUCUUGAACGUUUGAAGUGUGAUGCUUGUAAGUACAAGCUAUUAAUUUCAAAACCUUACUUAAGAUAUUGUUAGGUACCUCUAAUUACAUUAUGCCUCUGAAAUUGUUUGAAUUUGCUUGUUUUGUACAUGUCACCGAAGGACAAAUGACAAACUUGAUCCUCGGGCCAUGAAGUGUCUUUUCAUUGGGUAUUCUGCUUCUCCAACGAGUUACAAAUGUUAUCACCGCAUACAAGGAUGACAUUCAUCACUAUGGAUGUUAUCAUGUUACCUUCAAGGAGCAUGUGGCCUGUUAUCACCGAUCAUCUCUUUAGGGGAAGAGUCAAUUUAAGAAAGAAGAGACGAAUGUUGAUACGACCGUUUAUGUUCCCAGAUGGACGUCAACACUUGAACUACGACAAAAUGAGGGAGAGAGGGAAAUGAUAUUAAGGGAGAGGAAUAGAGAAAUGAAAUCGAGUUGGGCGGGGAGAGAAAUGGAGUUGAGGCAGAGGGAGAGAAAGAUGAAGUUAAAGGAAAAAGGCAAAACAAUAUUCUGAGGAGACAGAAAAAAAGUGAUUGUGAAUAGCAAGCAUACACUUGAAAACGAAGAAAGUAUAAAUCUAUCAUGCACUCCUCACCUAGCUAAGAGCUCUCUCCGGAUCCAAUUCUUUUUAUCUCACCUCUCUCCAAGCCAAGAGCUAUCUACAUACCUAGUUCUUUCUUCUCAAUCUCCUCAAAGUCAUUGUCCGUCUCUUGCUCAUAUGAAGUCUUCCAAUUUUAAUCCUGUGAGUUCGAAAUCACUCUAAACAUCCAAUUUCUGAUCGACUUUGUUUUAUAUGCGCCAUUAUCUCCUUUGUAUAGAGCUUUUAUGUCAUCCUUGUCUUCUAUCUACAUUCUACAGAAUUGGAUGGAGGAACUUGUAGAUUCCAAGUGAAACGAAGCUAUGUUGAGGAGAUGAAAGCUUAGCGAAAUGAGACAUGGGAACUUGUUGAACUAUCUACUGGAAAAAGACUCGUCGGAUGCAACUGGGUUUUUAUUGUGAACUAAGCAUAAGGUAAACAUACAAGUCGAGAGAUAUAAAGUCAGACUUGUCACAAAAAAGUUUUACUCAAAUCCAUGGAGUUAAAUAUCAGGAGACUUUUGUUCCCUUUGCAAAACUAAACUCCAUUUGCAUUCUCCUAUCACGUGCUGCAAAUCUUGAAUGGGAGUAACAACAAUUAAAUCUGAAAAUUGCAUUUCUACAUGGUGACAUAAUGGAAGAAGUGUAUAUGGAGGUUGGUUUCUCAUCACAAAAACCAAUAGGGAAAAUGUGUGAAUUAAAAAAAGGUGCUAUAUGGCUUAAAGCAAUCAACAAGAGCUUGGUUUGACAGAUUUAGCUAAGCAAUGCCAGCAUUUGGGUAGAAGCAAAACAAUCCUGAUCAUAUACUAUUUACUAAAAAGAUGCAAUCAUAAAGUUGUCAUUCUCAUUGUUUAUGUUGAUGAAAUAGUGGUAAUUGGAAAUAAUGCAAUUGGAGAUGAACAAACUCAAGAAUUAUCUUGUACAAAAUUUUGAGAUAAAGGAUCUAAGAAAGUUGCAAUAUUUUCUAGGAAUUGAAGCGGCGAGAUCAUAAACAGGCAUAUUUAUAUCACAAAGAAAAUACAUUUUGGACUUGCUCCAACAAACUGGUAUGCUUGGAUGUGGACCAGCAGAUUCACCUACUGAGGCAGACUCACCUACUGAGGCAAAUCAUCGAUUGAAGGGUGAAUUAAGUUGGCGAAUCUAUUGAUUAGAAAAGGUAUCAACAAGUGGUGGGUAGAUUGGUUUAUAGGUCUCACACUCGAACUGAUAUAACAUGUGUGGUGAGUGUAGUUAGUUAGUAUAUUCUGCCUCACUUGAAGACAAUUUGUCGUAUUUUGAGGUACUCAAAAUCAUCUCCCGGAAAGUGGACUUCUCUUUGCAAAUGAUAGUCAUUUGAAAAUUGAAGCUUUUACAGAUGCAGAUUUGGAUGGCUAUCCAAAUGACGGAAGAUCUAUUUGAAGAUACUACACAUUUGUAAGAGGUAAUAGUUUAGUCACCUGGAGAAGUAAAAAGUAGAGAGUUGUUGUCAGAUCAAAUGCACAAGCAGUGCAUAGAGCUAUAGCAUAUGGCUUAUGUGAAUUGUCGUGGCUUAGAAAAAUUAUGCGUUAGGAUUGACAAAUAUCAAGCCACUAAUGUUUGCAAUGUGACAACAAAGGUGCCAUCAACAUAGCCCACAAUCCUGCACAACAUGAUAAGACAAAACAAAUUGAAGUUGAGUUGAAUUUUAUCAAGGAGCUGGAGAAGGGUAUCAUCUGCAUUCUGUUUGUGAAGUCACAGGACCGAACAGCAAACAUUCUCACUAAAGGACCUAGGAGUGUUUUAUUUAACGUUUUGUAUACACGAUGGGCAUAAGAAAUAUAUAUGCUCCAUUUUGAGGGCAGUGUUAGUUUAGUAUAAUUCCAAUCUUCUCAAAGACUUUUACGUAAAAAUGCAUUAUAAAUUAAUUAGUUUAGAAUUGCAGGUGUAAAAUCCCCUAAAACUCUUUUCCUCAUUCUUUUCUCUAUUAACUAUCAAGUUACAACAUGGUUAAGAAACUUUAGAGCUGUUACGACAAAAGCGGAAAAUAUUUAGUUUGUUGGGCACAAAAAUACCAAAAGAAAACCGAGAAGUAGAGAAGAAAAAUAAAUCACAUAAUUAUUUACAUGGUUCGGCCACGCAAGCGAAGACGAAGUACAAACUUUAAUUAUAACCGAAAGAGAACUGUACCCUCAAAAGAGAACCCAUACUUUUUCUUAUCUGCCGUACCAAAUCAAUAAAAUAAAAGGUAUAUGUAUUUUGACUAAAAUCUAAUGAGAAUAGGAAUAAUCUCAAAAAGAUAAUUAUAAUCUUAAGUUAACUUAAUGGGUUGACUAAAAUAAAAUAAUGAUAGAAAAUCUUCCGAUUCUAUAAUUCAAGACACAUCUAACAAAUGUUUUUUUUUUAAAAAAAUCUUCAAACACACUCCUGUGGUUUAGCGCUUUCUCACUUUAGUACCCUGUGAUUUGAAAUGCAUCACUUUAGUAUCCUGUGGUUGCAUUUUUCUCUCUCUGUUGCCCCCUCUAUUUAGCAUUUUUAUUAAACCAGUGAUAAAAUUAAAACCACAAGGUACUAAAGUGAAAAGCUAGUAAACCACAGGGGAGUAUAUGAAGUUUUCUCUUUAUGCUUUAACAACAAAGUUAACAAAAGGGCUGACAAAAAGAGAAAAAUAGAACCUUAGGAUAAUAAAGUGAUACACUUUUAAACCACAGGGUGUUAGAGUGAGAAAGAGCGCAACCACAGAGGGGGUACUUGAAGUUCUCACUAUUUUCUUGGCUGUACAUUUGGGGUGAAAGGCCAUCGGUUAUGGUACCCUGAUCCCAAAGCAUCUAAAUUUCUUAUUAGUAGGGAAGUUACUUUUGAUGAGUCUACUAUGUUUCACCUGAAAAAAGAGUCUUUUGUUGGCACACUUUUGAGAAAGUGAAGACCGUUAAGAAACAGGUUGAGUUUCAGAUUAAUGACUCAAUAUACCUGCAAGAAGUUCUGUGAUGCUCCAACUUCCCAAGGGGUCACCUAAAAUGCUUAAGCCGGGUUAAGAGUUUUAGCCCUAUUAUAUCGUAUAUAUAGGACUAUCUGGGGUUUCACAUACUCCCCCCAUUUAAGUCCUGACGUCCUCAUCAAACUCAGACUCACAAGUACCUGACAAUGUGAGACUCGUCUCGUUAGCCUAAACCGACCUUGUGGUGAGCUACGCUCCACCCACAAUACCCAACAGCAUGGGAGCUCUAUUAGAAAUUGUAUUAAAUAAAUAAUAUCCGUCCAAUUUAUUUAAUUUUUAAAUUAAAUAAAAAAUUAAGUAUAUUGUCUCAUCUUUUUAGAAAUGGAUGAAAAUCCUUUUCUGCUUUUGAAAACUUCUAUUUAUUCUAUUUUUUAAAUAGAAAAUAAUAUUAUCUCCUUGCAUCUUUUUUUAAAAAGAUUAAAAAUGCUCUCUUCACCUACGGUAGAACAAACAAAAUUUAACUAUUUUUUAUACAAUUAUAAUAAANUAAUAUUAUCUCCUUGCAUCUUUUUUUAAAAAGAUUAAAAAUGCUCUCUUCACCUACGGUAGAACAAACAAAAUUUAACUAUUUUUUAUACAAUUCUACUAAAGAUUUAGAAAUUAUUGAAUAUAUAAAUAUCACACUCAAUCUGAAUUAUUUUAAAAAAUAUAAUAUUCUUUUUCAAAUAUAUGUAUACGUGCAUUGCACGUACACUUUGCUAGUGCAUACAAAUACAGAUACAUAUAUGUAUAUGUAUCCAAAUAUAUGUACCAUUUGUGUAUAUAUUGUUGAAAAAUUAUCUUUCUAAAUCUUUAGUAGAAUAUUCUUUUAAAUAAUUUUUGAAUAGAAAGAAUAUAACUUUAGUUUUGAAAACCGCAAGUAAAAAUUAAACAGUUACUACUAUAGAUAUUAAGAGGUCAGAUGAGGCCUGUGAGUCGAGGCGUGUGAAAGCAUUGUCUUAGAAGCGAGAUUGUCCCUCCACGUGCGAGGCUUUGACAAUCACUCCUAGCGAUACAAUGACCACUGCCCACCCCGUCGGCAUAUCUUCAGGAUGGCGCAACACGAACCCAAUAAACUUUCAGAGAUCCAGCAAAAAUGGCAAUGUGAAGUUGAGUGCAUAAUAGAUGUAAAAAUCAGCGUGAAAGAAGGUGAGGAAGAAGAGUAUUUUGCAAGCUCGGGUUAUGUCUUAUGCACCAACACAAGUGCACCUUCACUUACAUAUUGGAGAGAUUUAGAAUAGUUCAAUGGGAAAAUCCUGGUCAAGAUCUAGCUCCUUCCCGAGGUUGGACUAAGAUAUGAUUCCUUUCCGAAGUUGGACCAAAUCUGGACAAUAUCCAGAUUAGAUCUAGUCAAGAUCUCGUAUGGCUCCUUCCCAAGGUAAGGCCAUCAUUGGAUAAAAAUAAAAUAAAAAGAAAAAAGUGUAAAUGAACCGAGUUCACGCACGCCGCCACCCGGCCCGGCUCGUGCUCGUGCUCGUGCGUUUAGUCGAGAGCUCCACUCUCAUGUUCUCCCAAGCAACUAAAGUUGAGAGUGAGAGUGUAUAUAAAGUGUAGUAAAAUGCCUUUGGUUUCCAAUGUGGAACUAAACUUCACAUGUGGAAAUUAAGGCACGGGCUCCCAAGUAAGACUACAGAGAGUUGAGCUGCCCAGGAAGCCCAUGGACCAAAUUCAAGUUUUAAAUCACUGUUUUAAAAAAUUAAAACUAACAUAUAUAUAUAUAUAUAUAUAUAUAUAAUAUAUAGAACUAGGCUGGAAUACUAUCAAUAGCACUAAGCUAUUGGUGCUAUUAGGUUUUUAGUCCUUGGAUUGAGAAAUGUGUGGUUACGCUAAUAUGGGCCCUCUAGGGUUGAGUGGGUGCUUGGUUGAAUAGUAUAAUCUAACGGGUAAAAAUAAUCAAAGGGGUUAAAUCUACCGAUGGAAAACUCGAUAGUACCAAGCUCUUGGUGCUACCGAUAGUAUUCCAGCCGGACUUCAUAUAUAUAUAUAGAUAUAGAUCUAGGCUGGAAUACUAUUAAUAGCACCAAUGACUUGGUGCUAUUAAGUUUUCUGCCCUUGGAUUAAAAGAUGUGUGAUUAGGAUGAUGUGGGCUCCCUAGGGUUGAGUGGGUGGUUAGUUGAAUGGUAUAAUCGAAUGGAUGAAAAUGAUAAAAGAUGUAAAUCUAACGACAGAAAACUUGAUAGCACCAAAUGCUUUAUGCUAUCGAUAGUAUCCCAGCCGGACUCUAUAUAUAUGAGCUAGGCUGGUAUACUAUCGGUAGCACGGAAGCCUCCGUGCUACCAAGUUAUUUUCAAUGAUACGGCUUUCAAAUCAACGAUCAACUCCAUUAGACUUGAUCUACACAAUUAAAAGUAUUUGGAAACUAAAUUUCAUAAUUUUUCGAUAUCAUUUAGCUAGUGAUUAAAAGGUCUCAAAAUUGACAAUUUUAAUAGUAGAUGUGAUGCGUUUGUGAAUUUAACGGUGUAAAACAAUCCAAAUCUGAUGAAAUUUUUAUAGAAAAUUCCUUUAACUAUUUAGAGUAAGAUCAGUACCUCUGAUCUUAAAUUCAAGUCUUUUAUCAUCAUUUUUUAUGAGAUUUUUAUUUUUAGCUGUUCAUUUUUAGGCUAUUCAUUUGAUAGGUAAAUGAUGCCGAAAAAUUAUGAAAUUUAGUUUCCAAAUACUUUCAAUAGUGUAGAUCAAGUCUAACGGAGCCGAUAGUCGAUUUGGAAGCCGCAUCAUUGAAAACAACUUGGAAGCACGGAGGCCUCCGUACUACCAAGUUGUUUUCAAUGAUGCGGCUUCCAAAUCGACGAUCGGCUCCGUUAGACUUGAUCUACACUAUUAAAAGUAUUUGGAAACUAAAUUUCAUAAUUUUUCGAUAUCAUUUACCUAUCAAACGAGUAGUCUAAAAAUAAAUGGCUGAAAAUAAAAAUCUCCUAAAAAAUGAUGAUAAAAGACUUAUAGAAAAUUCUUUUCACUAUUUAGAGUAAGAUCAGUACCUCUGAUCUUAAAUUCAAGUCUUUUAUCAUCAUUUUUUAUGAGAUUUUUAUUUUUAGCUGUUCAUUUUUAGGCUAUUCAUUUGAUAGGUAAAUGAUGCCGAAAAAUUAAGAAAUUUAGUUUCCAAAUACUUUCAAUAGUGUAGAUCAAGUCUAACGGAGCCGAUAGUCGAUUUGGAAGCCGCAUCAUUGAAAACAACUUGAUAGCACGGAGGCCUCCGGGCUAGCGAUAGUAUGAUGUACAUGUGUAUGUAUUUAUAUAUAGAGCUAGGCUGGUAUACUAUCGGUAUAUAUAUAUAUAUAUAUAUAUAGAAUUGAGCUAGAAUACUUUUAGAAGCACCAACCCCUUGGUGCUUCUAGGGUUUAAGCCCUUGGAUCUACUCCUUGAUUACUAGUAACCCUUGGAUUAAACACUAUUCCACCUACCACCACCUACCACCACCUAACACCAUCAUCCCAACCUUACAACUCUGAUCAUCCAAUGGCCAAAAACUCAAAAGCACCACCCUCUUGGUGCUUUUGAGAGUAUUCUAGCUCAACAAUAUAUAUGUAUGUGUAUGUGUAUGUGUAUGUGUAUGUAUAUGUAUAGAGCUAGACUGGUAUACUAUCGGUAGCACGGAGGCCUCCAUGCUACCAAGUUGCUUUUAAUGAUGCGGCUUCCAAGUCGACGAUCGGCUCCAUUAGACUUGACCUACAGUAUUGAAAGUAUUUGAAAACUAUAUUUCAUAAAUUUUUGGUAUCAUUUACCUAUCAAACGAGUAGUCUAAAAAUAAAUGGCUGAAAAUAAAAAUCUCCUAAAAAAUGAUGAUAAAAGACUUGAAUUUAACAUCAGAGAUACUGAUCUUACUCUAAAUAGUGAAAAGAAUUUUCUAUAAAAAUUUCAUCAGAUUUGGAUUAUUUUACACUGUUAAAUUCACAAACGCAUCACAUCUAGCAUUAAAAUUGUCAAUUUUGAGACCUUUUGAUCACUAGCCAAAUGAUGUCGAAAAAUUAUGAAAUUUAGUUUCCAAAUACUUUUAAUAGUGUAAAUCAAGUCUAACGGAGUCGUUCGUCGAUUUAGAAGCCGUAUCAUUGAAAAACAACUUGGUAGCACGGAGGCCUCCGUGCUACCGAUAGUAUACCAGCCUAACUCUAUAUGUAUAUGUAUAUAUAUGUAUAUGUAGAACUAGGCUGGAAUACUAUUAAUAGCACCAAUGACUUGGUGCUAGUAAGUUUCUUUCCUUACAUUAAAAGAUGUGUGGCUAGGAUAAUGUAGGCCCUCUAGAGUUGAGUGGGUGGUUAGUUGAAUAGUAUAAUCGAACGGAUGAAAAUGAUAAAAGAGGUAAAUCUAAUGGCAAAAAACUUGAUAGCACCAAAUGUUUCGUGCUAUCGUUAGUAAUCCGAGGUUAUGUAUAGAGUAAGGCUAUGGAGUUGUGAAAAGCACAAGACUUGGUCUUGUUAAACGUUUUUUACCGUUAAGAUCUACGCCUUUUUGAUCAUUUAAAACUCCGUUGUAGUAUACUUAUCAAAACCACCCCCACUCAACCACUCAGGGGCGCACAUCAUCCUUAAACCGCUACGAUCACUUAAUCAAUGCCAAAAAUCUACAAGCCAAUCCAAACUAACUUGGUAUUUAAAAGCAUAGGAGUCUUAAUUAUACAUAUAUAUAAUAACAUAUAUAUAUAUAUAUAUAUUAUAUGGUCCGGCUACUAUAUUCUAUUGUGAAAGUACGAUCGAGCCUUCGGUACCAUAAGUUGUUUUCGAUAUAAGCUUUCCGAUAUCGACGAUCCACACCGUUAAAGUUAUUUACGGCAUUUAUAACUUUCUAAAAAUCAAAUUUAUAAUUUUUUGACGAUCAUUUAUCUUAUGAUCAAGAGGUCACCAAAUUGACAAUAUUUUAACGGCCCGGUAAUGGGAAUACUUGCUAGUUUAACGGUUAUGUAAAAAGAUCGGAAUUUGUUGAAUUUUUGAUAGAAAAUUCUAUUCAUACAUAGUAUAAGAUGCAAUAACUCCGAUCUUGAAUUGAGAGGAUCGAUUAUUCUUUUUAUAGGACGUCGUUUCGAUUGUGACCGUUCAUUAUUUGUGCCCACUGAUGGACUUUAUUAUGAUUUCAGAAAUUUACGAUAAUUUAUUUUCUAGGAAGCAUGGACUCCUAUUACUAUAUAUAUAUAUACACACACGUAUAUAUAUAUAUAUAUAUAAUUAAGCUCCUAUGCUUUUAAAAGUACCAAGUUAUUGGUGCUUGUAGAUUUUUAGCCAUUGGAUUAAGAAAUAUACGGUUAGGAUGUUGUGAGCCCCCUAGGGUUGAGUGACUUGUUGGUUGAAUAGUAUAAUCUAAUGGUUGAAAAUGAUCCGAGAAAUAGAUCUAACGGUAAAAAACUUACAAGCACCAAGUGUAAAUAGUUACGUUUAACUUUAAGGUUGUAACAACUCAAAAGAUUAUCAUUAAGCACUGAAAAAUUACCUUAACCGAAGAUAAUUACUGUCCCAUAUAUAUAUAUGCUAACUCCACUUUUGUAUCUCCUCAACCCAACUGACCAUUAAUUACUGAUCAAUCUCCACUCUCUUCCAUGCUUCACAAUUAAUAUCCAUUUACAUAAAUACUCUGAUUGCAAAAUUUAAUUGAAUAAUGUUAUCCCUCUUUCUCUGUUCAAAAGGAAAAAAUGUGGAAAUGACCAAAAACAUUUUAAUUUAGUUAAGAUGAUCAACCAUGCAUACAUCAAUAUCACAGGACUUUAAUUAGAUGCAAUAUUAUUUAAAAAGGAUAGCAGGUAGUCUGCAUAUCCAUGAAUUUCAUAUACCCAAUGAUACAUGAGGAUACUAACCGUUCCUAGCGCAAGUGGCAAAAGACUUGAUAGUUGGUAUCCGAGGCCCCAAGUUUGAAUCCUAAUUGAUUUAUACUUUCAACUAAAUUUUCUAAUUGAUUUAUAUUUUCAGCUAAAUUUAUUUUUAAAAGAAAUAAACAAAGAAGGUAACAUGCUACCUUUUUCUCAAAAGAAAAAAAAAUGAUCCAUGAUCAGGAUUAAUUAACUUACAGAAACAAAAUGCAUAUAAAUUACAUUAGAUGCAAGAACAUACCAAGAACUGUAUUAGUUCUAAAAAUUUGCAAACAAGGAUAUUCGUCUAGCAUAUCUUCAAAGUAUAGUUAUGAAGCACUUACCUUUACCAACUGUAGACCCAGAUACUAAUACUUUGUUUGGAACUACAAUAAAAAGAAAAUUUUGGACUUCUAGUAUCUUCUUUUAGCUGUUUCCUCCUACAGCUGGCCAGUAGUAAGAGUUAGCCUACAUACGAAACUUCCUAAGAAUUGCUAACCAAUGAGGAGGAACUUCAUAUAAGCCACAGUCCAUAAGAAUUGCUAAGAUUUUUCUCGAAAGUAAAUGGCUCUCUCUCUCUCUCUCUUUCCUCUUACUUUUCCACCCUACUGUUCAGGAAACUCAAUUUCUAAAUAUAUGGGAGCACCAGCUCCGAUUAAUCCCCCAACUUUGUGAACCACCUUCCUCAACAUUCUCCUUUGCGUCCACAUCAUACGUACAUAUAUAGAGAGUGAGUCUAACUAAAUUUCACUUCAAGAGUCGAUCUCCUGAGGCUCAGAAAAAUCAGGUGGCAGAAGCACACAUAUAUAAGCGUACGUGUGUGUAUAUAUAUAUAUAUAUAGUAUAGUUAUAUAUAACAUGCACCAACAUGACAUCAACAUGAACAGAUGUGUAGUAUUGCCAAAUGCUACCUAGCUAGCUAGCUCCACGGCCAACGAUUAACACGAUAUAUAUCAACCACAAUAAACAAUCACUCUACGCACCUUAGACCUUGUCAGGAUCCCGAAUCGUAGAGAGCAGACGACAACACCCCGGCGAAAUUAUCCAGCAUUUGCGGCUAGAAUGCGUCGUCGAGCGCAUCGAACGGGCUGGCGCCAGCACGCGGGCCUCCGCGUAGAUCUACGACGUCGGGAUUGCCGCCGGCGUACGAAGAUCCGGGCGCGGCGUGGCUGCGGAAGGUAGUAGUAGUGUCGGGCUUCGAGGGGACAUCGUGGCCGCCGUCGGCGUCGGCCUCAGGGAACAGCGAUUGGUCGGGGAAGGUGGAGUCUUGGCCCGUGAGCUCCUGGACUAGUGCCCGGAACUCGGCCGGGUUGGCCGCCUUGACCUUCAUGGGGUUGGAGAUGUACACCACCUUGACGGGCUUCUUCAUCUUGCCCUUGUCAGAAUGCUGCUUGGGGUUCUUCCUGCCGUCGCCGGUGCGGAGCUUUUCCAUUUCUGAUUCUGAUGAUCAGCUUCAGUGGAGGGGGGAGUGGGAGGGGCUUGGCUUGUAAGGAGAGGAGGUGAAGGACGACUCAUUACUGUGGUUUUGGCUUCAGCAUACACACAAGGAGAAGAGCACACAUGAAAGGGGUACAUUUAAUUGAAUCUCGAAUAGUGAGAGGACGGGUUUCGUCGUGGCGGAGAUGGUGAUUCCGUAACAUGGAAUUGGGAAAGAAGUGGGAAAGAGUGGGGCAACAGAAAUUUACUGCAUGCACCCUGUGCAUGCACUCGGUGCACUGUGCGUCCUACUCUUGAGAAUUCUAUUAUGUGACAUAUCAUAAAGUAUCGCACGGUUAACCGUGUGUCGCCCGAUGAUAAGUCUUCUUUACUAAUACUUCAAGGAUUCUUAGGCGAUCCAAUGGUUAAAACAUUACAAACACAGAUGCGCAUGUACUUUUAAAUGCGCCUGGUCCGACUUAUAUGUUUUUAGAAACACGAUGGCUUCUAUACUAUCAAAUCAUUUUCAAUGCUGAGACUUCCAUAUCGACAAUCAGCUCCGUUAGACUUAACCAAGAAUAUAUUAGAUUUUAUUGAAUUUUUAUGAUUUAAAACUUGUUAAGACCUCUUGAGAGCCCAAUAAUUGUUAAUGGGCCGCUUUGGGAGCCCAACUAAAAUUUUCAUAUUUGAUGUUUAGUCCCACAUUAGAAAUCAAAAGGGUGUUUGUUUCUUUUAUAUAUUCUUUUAUUCUCAAACUAAUUGUUUGGAGAAAAAUGAGAGUAAUGUUCUCGUUUAAAUACACACACGCACGCAUGGCACGAGUCCGAGCCGAGCCGGGCCGAGCGGGUGGCGCGCGCGGUCCAUACACUCGAUUUAUUUUAUUUUUAUUUUGUUGGUUUUAUCUUUAUUUUAUAUCUUAUCUUUAUCUUUAUCCUAAUCCUAAUCCUUAUCCGUAUAAUUUUAGGCUUAUCUUGUUCUACACGGAUUUAACGCGUUGAAGCAAGAUUCUCACAUAGAUUAUAAAUAUGGGGUAAGGUUGCAUGAGUUAAUUAAUAAUAAUAAUAACCCGAGCAUAUCUAAAACCUCUCGUCUUUUUCUACUUUCUGAAUUUUCGCCGAAUUUUCUUUUGCUGGAUCUAAAGCUGGUUGGGUUCAUCUUGCACCACCUUAGAAGCAUGCUGACAGGGUGGAACGUGAUCGUUAUAUUGCUAGGAGUAAUUGCCAGAAAGUCUCGCACAUGGAGGGACAAUUUCGCUUCUAGGACAAUACUCUACACGUCUCGAUCCACUGGCCUUAUCUAAACCUUUUCUUUAUAGUAUUUGUUAUUUAAUUUCUUUCGCGGAAUAUUUCGAAACUUAUAAUUUAAAUUUUCGAAUUGGUUUUUAAAAGAAUAUUGUAAUAAAAAUUCAGAAAAAUUUUUCAAACAGAGUAUUGGAAAUAGCAAGAAAACAAAUUUCGUUCUUUUUUAUAUCAUUUAUUUAGUAAUCAAAAUAGCUCAAAAUCAACGGCUGAAAAUAAAAAUAUCACAAAAAGUAAUGAUAUGACACUAAAAUUUUAAAUCAAAAAUAUUGGUCGUAUUUUAUAUAGUGUAAAUAAUUGGGUAAACUUCAGACACCAUCCAUGUGAUUUCGUACGUUCUCAUUUUAGUACCCUAUAGUCUAAAGUGUAUCAAUUUAAUACCCUAUGGUUUUAUUUUAUUCUUUUCGUCAGCUCUUCCGUUAAUAUUUCGUUAAAUUAGAUACAAAAAACUUCAGAUACAUCACCUAGGUUUAUCGAAUAUUCACUUUAGUACCCUUUAAUUUUAAUUUUGUCACUGAUUUAACGAAAAAAAUUAGUGAAAUGAAUAAUUAAAAAUAAAAAUGAAAACAUAAGACACUAAAUAUGGAUAUUUAGUGAAGUUUUCCUAAGUAAUUUUCUAUCAAAAUUUUAUUUAAUUUGGAUAUUUCUACACCAUCAAAUGUGCAAACAGCUCAAUACAACCAUUAAAAUUGUUAAUUGUUAAUUGAUAUUGAAAAAUUACUGGACUUAUUUUUUACAUACUUUAAAUACUCUAAAUUGAAUCUAACGGAGCCGUCCCAGCAUCGAAAAUGACUUGAUAGCAUGAAAGUCACCGUACUUUUAAAAGGAUGCAAAUUUAACUUGCUCUCUCUUUCUCUCUCUGUAUAUAUACACACACUAAUUAUAGUGCACGUGCAAUGCACGUCACAUUUACUAAUUAAUUUAAAUUUAAAUAUAAUUUAAUAUAAAAUAAAAGUUAAAUCUGUUUCGAUUUAAAUUUAAAUAGUAAUUGGUGGCAUUAGUCUAUUUUUCAAUUAAUUAAUUUUUUAAAUUUGAUCUGUUUCGAUUUAUUUUUAGUUUGUUAAUUAUAAUUAUUUUUUUUAUAAUAUGUAUGAAAUAUUUUUUUUAUUUUAUUUAGGAUUUCGUUACUUCAUUUCUAUCCGUUUUUAUAUAUAGUAUAGAUAUAUAUUAGAAAAAAAAAAUCUUCUAUCCUAGAUACAAUGUUAGUACAGUGUGUAACGUGCAUUAAAAUAAUACGCCUAUAAAAGAUGCAUUCGAUGAUUUAUAUAUUAAAAGCGCGCAACUCAAAAUCAAAUUUAAUUUAGAAAAAAUUGUUUAUAUACCCCUGAAAAAUUUUCGACUUUUCGAUUUACCCUUCUUAGAAGACUAAUAUUAAAAAUAUCCUCUUUACGUUCCAACCUAUUUCUAAUAUAUUCCUAGAGUUAAAAUUUAUUAAUUAACUCUGUUAUCUCUAUAAAAUUAUUAUUUUGCCCUUUCAAAUAUACCCUUCCACCAUCACCGACUUUCUUAUUUGCCCUUAAAGUCAGGGGCACAAAAAAUAUUUUGACUUUUGGUCUUUUCCAAUAUACCCCUCUAUCAUCAUCAACAUUUCUUAUUUGAUUUUAAGUUAAUGGCAAAAUUGGUAUUUUAAUUUUUUUUAACUGUGAUAAAUAUUUAACUCACGUUUAACCCAAAUUAACUUAACAGGAGAUAACUGCGGGGGUAUUUUGCAAUAACGGUGGAACAUAUGAAGGGUAUUUUAAAAGGAAAAAAAAAUAGGAAUAAAUCAGAUAUUUUCAAAUAUAUGAGGGAUACAUAGACAAUUAUCCCUUUAAUUUAUUAUAUAAAUUUGUAAUUAUUUAAAAGACUUACACAUUAAAAAAAAAUCCUCGAUGUUACUAAGUAUGAAUUCGUGAAUUUGUAGGACUGUUUAAUUCAAAGUGUCUUGGUACUAAAGGUCAUUUAACUUAAGCUAUUAGGCCAAAAGAAGUUAGAGAUCAAAGCAUGCAGAGAGUGCCUUCUAAUUUAUUUUUUGUGAAACGGCAUAAAUUAUAUUCUGACCUAAUUUGCGCAAAUCUAAAAAAUAUAAAUUCUUUUAUAAAAAUAAAUUAUUAUUAUAUUUUACGCAUAUUCUUUGCGGUCCCAAACUGGGCCUAGGGUAAAAUAAUUUCAGUCAAAUGUUUGGAAAUUUUCAUAUAGAGGUUUUUUUAAUUAGACGUUAUUUGUUUACUUAAAUAUUUGGGGCAAUAUUCAAACUGUACGCACGGAUACGCCCGGUGCAAGAAAUACAGUGAGAGGAUAAUGCUGUAAGGAUACGAAAAGACAGGGAGUAGAUACGGCAAGCCAAGUGCUCGGAUCGCUUGUUGGGGGUGAACAUCGAACUUCAAUAAUUAUGCCACGUGGCUCGCUAAGAGCGGUUGAGAUCCUACGGAGGUGACGUCAGUCGUACGCAUGCCAGUAACAUACCUGUAAUAAAUGGGAUUUGGCUGUUGAAAUCAACUGCGCUUGGUCAGAUGUGCCCUCACGUGUCUAAACUUUUUAGUACUCCUUACCUCUGCAUGAAACUAUAUAUUUCUAAUAAAACUGUCUAAAAUAUCCGAUAUACUAUACCCGACUCGGACCCAAUCCGGAUACUAUCCAGAUCCGAACCGGACCUGAUAAAAAAUGGAUAGUAUACGGGUAAAAAAAAAAACUGAUUAAAGUUUCGGAUAUGGGUCCGGAUAUUUUAUACCCAUAUCCGAUUUGGACCCGACCCGAAUCCAACUUUUAAAUGGAUAGGGUCCGGAAUAGUUUUUAAAUUCGGACCCUGACCCGGACCCGGACCCGGACCCGAUGAAAUAUUUGAUAGUAAAUAAAAAAAUUGUGAACUUUUAAAGUUGAGAGAUCAAUUUUAAUAGGACUUAUCGACGAGGGAAAACAUUGAAACCCUAGCCGCUUUUUUACUAUUUUCUUUUUUCAAUUUUUUUUACUAUUUGUUUUUAACUCUUUAUUUUUUUUUUGUUUCAUUUCCGCCUAAGAGUUUUUUAUGAAACAAUAUUUUCAUCGUCGUCAUCAUUAGCGAUAUUAAUCCUUUACAAGUGUNCUAAGAGUUUUUUAUGAAACAAUAUUUCUAUCGUAGUCAUCAAUCUAUUUUUUUUUAAUGAAUAUUCUGGCCAGUAAAUUUUCUGAUUCAUCUUUAUUUUUUUUUCCUUUUUUUUUGAAUGUUAGUAUAUAAUAUUAGUAAUUACUACAACUUAUAUUCUCUUUAUCUGUAAUAUGCUAUCAUAAUUUUUUAAUUUUUGUAUGUUUACAUAUAAAAUUAUUUUAACUUUAGACUUUUAAUCAGUAAAUAUAAUGGCCGAAACAGAUUUUGCCCAAACAAUUUAAUAAAGUCUAUACAAAAAUAUAUAUACAGAUACCCGUACCCGACCCGUAUCCGGUUUUGAACGGGUAGUAUACGGAUAGUCACUACCCAGACCCGCUCAAAUAGACACCCAGACCCGCUCAAAUAGACCCGAUAGGUAUAUUAGUAACUUAAGUAUCCAGGUCCGGAUCCGACCCGAAGUUAAAUAGGUUUUUUUUUUUUUUUUUUUUUUUUUUUUUUUUUUUUUUUUUUUUUUUUUUUUUUUUUUUUUUUUUUUUUUUUUUUUUUUUUUUUUUUUUUUUUUUUUUUUUUUUUUUUUUUUCUAACCAUUUCUUUUUAGGGUACAGAUACAGUAUAUCUACUACCCAGACCCGACCCGGUCCACGGACACCUUUAUUUUCUAAGGAUAUGUUUGAUCCCACGUAAAUUUAUAAAAUUUUUUUUUAUAUUAUUUAGUGUUUAGUUUGUAUUAAAAAAUAGGAAUAAUUUUAUCAAUAUUCUUUUAAAAAAUCGUAAUUUCAUGAAUAACCCUCUAAACUAGAAAAUAUCAUCAAUACUCCUCUUAAAAUCAAAAAUAUUCACAGAUACCCUUUAGGGCGCAUUUGGUUCAAGUUAUAUAAUAUUACAGAGUAUUUCGAUAUACCCAGGUAUCUUGAAUUUUUAAAAGAGAUUACUCCUUAUACUGCAUUAGCGCGUUUGGUUUAAUACAGUAAUGUAAUGCUGGAUUGCAGUGGUUAUAGCAUUAAUAUGUUUGAUUCUAUCUAUAAAAUUCAGUAAUCUAGAUAAUAAAGUAUAGUCUAUUACAAAAUUGUCCUUAACCCAUAUUUUGUAAACUUUUUUUUUUUUACUGUUUACAAAUAAUAUUUACUAAAUUUUAUUUUUUUUAAAUAAUUUUUUUUAAAUUUAAAAANUCUUUUUGAUACCGGUGCAUCGCAUUCCUUUGUUAGCCGAGCAUUUGCAUAGUUACAUGGUCUAAAGUUAGAAGCAUUGUCUCAGGUACGAGAGGUGUAGAUCCCAGACCAUGUCUUGCAGGUCGUGGAGUGUUGUUGGUCAUGUCCAGUGCAGCUAGACUCGUGGAUUAUUCCCACAGACCUGUUGGUGUUAGGGCAGCUGCAGGACUUCGACGUCGUGCUCGGGAUGGAUUGGCUGGCGCGGUACUAUGCUACGAUCGACUGUGGAGCGAGGACGGUGACAUUCCGCGAGCUAGGCCAGGAGGAGUUCACUUUUAGAGGCUGCAGGAGCACGCUGUUUGUUACUUGGAUAUCUUCGGCGAGGGCUCGACAGAUGCUGAGCAGUGGGUGUAUCGCUUUCCUAGCGACAGUUGUGGAGGUACCUACGACGGCGUCGGGACUCGAGGACAUCCCAGUAGUCCGCGAGUUUCCGGAUGUGUUUCCCCCUGAGUUGACGACGUUGCCGCCGGAGAGGGAGAUUGAGUUUGUGAUUGAUGUAGUUCUUGAAACUGCACCAAUCUCGAAGGUACCUUAUCGGAUGGCGCCGGCAGAGCCGAGAGAGCUAAAGGCACAGCUUCAGGAUUUGAUGGAUAGAGGGUUUGUGAGACCCAGUGUUUCACCUUAGGGAGCGCCGGUGUUGUUUGUGAAGAAGAAGGAUGGUUCACUUAGGCUGUGUGUGGAUUACCGGGAGCUGAAUAAAGUGACCAUCAAGAAUAAGUAUCCCUUGCCGCGCAUUGAUGAUUUGUUUGAUCAGCUGCAGGGAUCUUAUGUCUUCUCGAAGAUUGAUCUCCAGUUAGGUUACCACCAGUUGAGGGUGAGAGCCGAGGAUGUUCCCAAGACGGCUUUUCGGACUCGGUACGGGCAUUAUGAGUUCACGGUGAUGCCUUUUGGAUUGACGAAUGCCCCUGCCGCAUUCAUGGAUUUGAUGAACAGAGUGUUCAAGCGGUUCUUGGACAGGUUUGUGGUAGUCUUCAUCGACGAUAUCUUGAUUUAUUCCCGGAGUGAUGCUGAGCAUGAGGAGCACUUGAGGAUUGUGCUAUAGCUUCUGCGCGAGAAGAAGUUGUAUGCCAAGUUAAAGAAGUGCGAGUUCUGGCUACGGGAGGUUGCUUUCUUGGGCCACGUGAUUUCAGCUGAGGGCGUAGCAGUGAACCCGAAGAAGAUUGAGGCGAUUCGAGAUUGGCCUAGACCGACGACGGUGACUAAGGUACGGAGCUUCCUGGGACUGGCAGGAUAUUACCGUCGAUUUGUGGAAAGCUUUGCGAAGCUUUCCACAUCCCUCACACGCUUGACGCGGAAGGGGAUUCGUUUUGUCUGGAGCGACGACUGUCAGAGGAGCUUUGACAAGUUGAGACUGAGGUUGACGUCGGCUCCUAUCCUUGCCCUUCCGGUGAUGGGGGAUGGAUUCGUGAUCUAUAAUGAUGCAUCGCACAGUGGACUUGGUUGCGUGCUGAUGCAGCAUGGUAGGGUGAUUGCUUAUGCUUCACGGCAGUUAAAGGAUUAUGAGAAGAAUUACCCUACGCAUGACUUGGAGCUUGCCGCGGUGGUUUUUGCUUUGAAGCUCUGGCGGCAUUACUUGUACGGCGAGCACUGCGAGGUCUUCACCGAUCAUAAAAGUCUCAAGUAUCUGUUCACACAAAGGGAGCUGAACCUGAGGCAGCGCCGGUGGUUGGAGUUACUGAAGGACUAUAACAUUAGUAUUCAGUGUCAUCCCGGCAAGGCGAAUGUUGUGGCAGAUGCGUUGAGCAGGAAGUCAGUGCAGAGCCUGAGUUUGAGGAUUACUGAGCAGAGACCCCUACUCGAGGAGCUACAGCGGCUGGGACUUGAGAUAGUACCCCCUGGGUCUAUGGCGAGGCUGACAUCUCUAGUUUUGCAGCCCACUCUGUUGGAUAGGAUCCGAGAAAAACAGAGUGGAGAUCCGUACUUGUUGAGGAUUAGAGAGCAGCUAGACAGGGGGCAGGCUGAGGGUUUUGCUUUGGACAGUUCGGGAGUACUACGGUACAGGCACCGACUGUGUGUGCCUGUGGAUUCUGAGAUCCGAACAGACAUUCCGAGAGAGGCUCAUUGUUCUCCUUAUACGGUCCACCCAGGUGGGACCAAGAUAUAUAAGGACUUAAAGGCACGGUUUUGGUGGAAUGGAAUGAAGAGGGACAUUGGCAGAUAUGUGGCUCAGUGUUUGACUUGCCAACAGGUGAAAGCCGAGCAUCAGGUACCUGCUGGCAAGCUUCAGAGUCUGCCAGUGCCAGAGUGGAAGUGGGAGUACAUCACUAUGGAUUUCGUUGUUGGAUUGCCUAGAGCGCAGGGUAGCUACGAUGCUAUUUGGGUGAUAGUGGACAGACUGACCAAGUCUGCUCACUUCCUACCGGUUCAGACUACCUGGUCCAGAGAGAGACUUGCGCAGCUAUACUUGGAUGAGAUCGUCAGGCUGCACGGCGUGCCAGUGUCGAUUAUGUCAGACAGAGAUCCGAGGUUUGUAUCUCAGUUUUGGAGGAGUCUUCGGACAGCCUUGGGCACUCAGUUGCAUUUUAGCACGGCGUUCCACCCACAGACAGAUGGUCAGUUAGAGCGGACCAUACAGACUCUAGAGGACAUGCUUAGGGCAUGUGUCCUGGAUUUUGGAGGAGGGUGGUAUCGACAUGUGAGACUGGUUGAGUUUGCGUACAACAACAGCUAUCAAACGAGCAUUCAGAUGGCUCCGUUUGAGGCGUUGUAUCGACGCAGAUGUCGAUCCCCCCUGUUUUGGAGCAAUGUGGGUGAGCGGAGGACACUUGGACCGGACAUUCUACUUGAGGCUGAGGAAAAGGUGAGAGUCGUUCGACGACACCUUCUGACAGUACAGAGCCGACAGAGGAGCUACUCCGAUACCAGGAGACGAGACUUGGAGUUUCAGGUUGGAGAUCAUGUUUUCCUCAAAGUCUCGCCGUCCAGAGGGAUACGCCGAUUUGGAGUACGUGGAAAGCUUAGUCCACGGUUUGUUGGCCCUUUCGAGGUAUUGGAGCGUAUCGGACCGGUUGCAUACAGGAUAGCUCUACCCCCGCGACUUGUUGGCAUCCACGAUGUUUUCCACGUCUCAGCAUUGAGGAGAUACGUCUUCGAUCCCACUCACAUGAUCGACUUCACUCCAUUGGAGAUCGGCGAGGAUCUGAGAUACGAGGAGCGACCGUUGCGGAUUCUUGCUCGGGAGACGAAAGAAUUGCGCAACCGGGUCAUCCCGUAUGUGAAGGUGCAGUGGAGCAAUCACGAGGAGCGGGAGGCGACUUGGGAGCCUGAGACGGUAAUGAGGGAGUCCUACCCCGACCUGUUCGAUGCCCCGUGUUGAGGUAUGUAUUAAGUUUCGAGGACGAAACUUUUUAUAGUGGGGGAGGAUGUAGUAUUCUGAUAUAUAUAUUUUUUUUUAGUUGGUAAGUUGGGUGGAUGGAAUGCCAUGUGCACCUAACCCCUCCCCCCCCCCCCCCCCCCCCCAAUGCAUGCUUAUCAACUUAGUUCACUCAGGUUGUACAUCUCUCUAAAUUAAUUUUCUUCUCCUCUCUCUCUCUCUAGCCGAUUGUGAGCAAGGAAGAGUUCGUGUGGAGCAUUUCGUUGUCGACAUCGCGCCGCGGAGCCGUCCGAGCAUAUGUGCGUCGCCGUAGUUUCGCGAGGAGGCCGGGCGAGGGAGUGUUUUCGUCGGUCUCGACGCCGUGCCGGAAUUGGAGUCGCUGGUUGAGGUGGGUAAUCUCUCAUUCCUCCAUGGAUUUCUUCUCUACUUCAAGCUUCAUUGAAUUCGAGCGCGAGGUGCUGUUUUCACUGAUUUCCAACGUCGACCGUCGACGUUUCGGCUCCCUCUCGACGUACGAGCAUCGGAUUUUGACGAGACUUGGUUUGUUGGAUUCGGGACUUCGAGAGGAAUCCACGAAGCCCUUGCUGGUUUUGGUGGAGGUUUUCUUGGUCGGAAUUAUUCUCUUCUCUGCUGCUGUUUUUGAGGCAGAAUCGGUGCUCAUUUUCGGAUUUUACGUGUAGAGUUUGGCGGGAGCGUGAUUUCUGGCCUUUGGAGGUUUGCGGAUUGAUCCAGCAGGGUGUUCCUUUGCUUCGGGACGUCCUCGCUGCUGGGGAUUAGCAACUAAGGUGGGUUAAUCAUCGGCUUAUACUCCUAAGUGCGCAAUAGUCAACAUGUGUAAUUUCAGAUUUUGUAUAGUUUACUUUAGCUCGAAUUCAUAGAUUAAUUUGUGAAUUACAAUCUGAAUUUGGAGCAUGUGUUAAUAAAUUAAGUAAUUUAUACAUGUUGGACUUGGAAUUUGACUUAGGAGAAAACAUGCGAUUUGGACCUGUCACUUGUUUAAACUGCCUGAUUUAGCUCUAGGAGCCGUUAUAGAAUUGUACUGUCGCAGCAUACUGUAGACGAGUACUUCAGGUAGUUUAGAAUACAUUUACGCUCGUGCUUGUACGCCGAGUGGAUUUUUACAGGGUCGUUUGAGCUGUUUCAGACUGUUGGGUGCCGUUGGAAUUAACGGUGGACCCAUAUCGCCUUUUUGGCAUUAGAUUGUGCCGAUGACACUUUACUUGUUGGUUGUUAGACCAGGUUGAGUUAGUUACUAGACUUUGAUUUUCGAGAGCCUGAUUGAGCUCGACAAAGAUACGCUGCAUACUCAAUUGGGUAGCGCCCACGAGUGCCACUCCGGAGACGGGCUUUGUGCUUUCGCGUUUGUGUUGCUCAUGCCGGUUGGACUUGCUCUCCACGGACCAGUUAGUGUGGAGGUAGCGGGAUAGUCGCAACUGGGCAGGGACGGGUGUAUUCACAGUCCCAGCGAUGGGUAUGUUUACAGUCCCGAUUGGAUUGGGUCAGAUUUGACAUUUCCUACAGUUGGUUAGUGUAGAGCAUGAUAGUGUAGUGAUUUGUAUCGGUUGAGUUUAUUUCCUACUUUUUCGUCUAUUCUUGCUUCCUUCUCUAGACUUAGUGGGUGGACCGAUGUUGUUUUGGGCGGUACCCACUGAGGACUACUUGUUUUUAUAGUAGUUCUCACGCCCAGUUGUUACUCCUGUUUUGCAGAGCCACAGGUUUCGGCUGCUGCGCCUUCCGCGGAUCAGGAUCGAGGGAAGGGCGUCGCGAGUUAGAGCCCUACCCGACGUGCUGAGCUAGAGGUGCCCCUACUGCAGGUAGAUGUUUUGUUUCGAGUUUAUGUACAUAGUGGACUUAACUCGCGAGUGCGAGUAGCUCUGUAUUUUGGAUUUCGACUAUGUAUAUGAAACUCAGUUUAUUUAGCUUCUGUUUUCUCUAGCAGCUCUCAACUAAUGUUCGUAGUAGUGUUUGAUUUACAGGUACAGCUGUCGCUUCGUAUACAGAAAAAAUUUCUUUGUAUACGGCGGAUUUGUCGGCGUGCCGCCCGGGGAACGAGACGUGACAGAUUAAGUUGGUAUCAGAGCUUUGCUGUAGGUCGUUGGGACCUAGGAAACCUAAGUUUGGCAAACCUUAGGAAAGCAAGACGCGAGAGGCGUAAUUUAAUUGCGAAAGUCAAUGAUUAUUUAUUCUAACUCCUCCUAGAGUAGAGUGAGUGACUGAAGGAGUACCUGUUUUGGCCUGAGAAAUUAUGUUGGCUGCAGACGACAUAAUUUUGGAGGGAAACAGGGACCGCCUUUCAGACUUUCGUUGAUUGGGUCGAGAGUGUUGUGUUGUAUCUGACCCCAAUUUGUUCUUUUCAGCUAUAUAUCGUCGCCGAGGUCGACCGUCUUUGCGGGAGUGUGCCCAGUUGGCGCAGGAUCGUGUAGGACCUCCCGAGAGACCUGAGCAGAUGGAGCAGAGUGCUCGGCAGGAGCAGAGUGACAGACCGGAGGCCAGUGCACCCCCAGAUUUGAGUGCCCAGCUAGCCGCCUUGACCGAGGUGACUAGGCGACAGGGGGAGUUGUUGGAGAGGAUGUGCGAGAGGUUAGCUUCACCGCAGAGCUCAGUACCGAGAGCGCCAGAGUCCGCUGUUUCACCUCCAGUGACAGAGCCAGCUACAGCAGUUCCUCUGCCAGCGGCAGUUCCAGCAGCGGUAGUUGCGCCUCCCAGAGGGCCAGUACAGUUGACUGAGGCCGAGCAGGAGCGGUGGACAGAGAGGUUGGCUCGUUUUCGUCGUUUUGAUCCACCGAUUUUUGAUGGCAGAUGCACUGAGGCCUGGGUUGUUGAGGGAUGAGUCAGUGUGAUAGAGAAGCUAUUUGAGGAUCUGUUCAUUCCGGAGGGGGAGCAGGUACCUCUGGAAGUACACUGUUUAGCAGGUGAUGCUCACGACUGGUGGCGGAGAGCGAGGCGAGAUCAGGGGCUGGUGGCGGUACAGCUGAGGUGGGAUGAGUUCUGUGGAAUGCUGUUUGGGAUGUUCUUUCCCCACAGUGUGAAGCAGAAGCUCGAGGAGGAUUUGAGGAGGCUUCAGCAGGGAGAUCGCCCAGUGCAGGAGUACGUUCGGGAGUUUACUCGACUUCUGAACUGUGUGCCAUUUGUGGCCAGAGACGAGGCGCACAGGGUGUACAUGUUCGAGCAGGGGCUGAGACCGGACAUUUUCAGGUUAGCGCAGGCGCAGAGGUCGAGGACCCUGGAUGCGUCUAUAGAGUAGGCCCUAUGGGUGGAGAGAGGUGAGGUGUCGGUGCAGGAGAGGACUCAGGCCGUGGGGCAGGGUCAGAACAGGAAGCGCUCCUUUUCAGAUGACGGAAGGCAGUCGAGCAGCAGACGUCCGCCGAGGCCUCCACGAUCACGCUCUCAGGGUCGUGGGUCUUCGGGGCUUCAGCGUUCCAGGGGAUCCCGUCAUCAGGGGCAGACUCAGAGGACGCCACAGUGUGUGAUCUGCGGGGGACCACACUGACCCCGGCAGUGCGAGCAGAGAGAGGGCAUGUGCUACGAAUGUGGUCAACCGGGACACAUGAGGGCAGCUUGUCCCCGAGCAGCAUCUCCAGCACCGUCAUCAGCUUCGGCACCACCAGCACCGCAGCAGUCUUACGGAGCAGCACCGAGUUACCGCUAGGAGGACAGAUCGUCUGUGCCGCGGUCGAGUGAGCCGCGACAGCAGGCUCCGAGCGGCAGGGUCUACGCAGCUCAGGUAGAGGACUCUACAGCAGCCGACCAAGUGGUGGCAGGUAUCACUUUGAUUUCUGGCAUUAGAGUUCGUACUCUUUUUGAUACCGGUGCAUCGCAUUCCUUUGUUAGCCGAGCAUUUGCAUAGUUACAUGGUCUAAAGUUAGAAGCAUUGUCUCAGGUACGAGAGGUGUAGAUCCCAGACCAUGUCUUGCAGGUCGUGGAGUGUUGUUGGUCAUGUCCAGUGCAGCUAGACUCGUGGAUUAUUCCCACAGACCUGUUGGUGUUAGGGCAGCUGCAGGACUUCGACGUCGUGCUCGGGAUGGAUUGGCUGGCGCGGUACUAUGCUACGAUCGACUGUGGAGCGAGGACGGUGACAUUCCGCGAGCUAGGCCAGGAGGAGUUCACUUUUAGAGGCUGCAGGAGCACGCUGUUUGUUACUUGGAUAUCUUCGGCGAGGGCUCGACAGAUGCUGAGCAGUGGGUGUAUCGCUUUCCUAGCGACAGUUGUGGAGGUACCUACGNNNNNNNNNNNNNNNNNNNNNNNNNNNNNNNNNNNNNNNNNNNNNNNNNNNNNNNNNNNNNNNNNNNNNNNNNNNNNNNNNNNNNNNNNAAAUUUAAAAUUUAAAAAUUAAGUUUAAACAUAAAAUUAAAGACUUAAAAUUUAAAUCUAAAAAUUAAAAUUUAAAAUAUAAAUAUAAAUAUAAAUAUAAAACCUAAAAUUUAAAUAUUUAAAGUAUAAAUAUAACAGUGCGGGGCCUACAGAGCAAGGGGCCCGUGCGGCUGUUUAGGCGGCAUAUGUUUCUUUAAAAAGGACAUAUGCUUCGCUGUCGACAUGGACAUUUAGUUUGUGAUGAUGCUUGUCAUCAUCUCUCGACGAUCUCUUUUGUCUUCGAUUUGUUUGACUCAAAGUAUAUGUAUCAGGUUUAGGUUUUAUGUCUCGAUGAGCGUGAGCGCUCAAUUCAGGUGAUACAUGUAUUUGAGCUUUGUUUUGUAGAUGGACGUCAUCCCCGUGGAGAUCGAGUCGUGCAGCCCAUUCCGAGAUUGAGCGCUGCGGGAAUGGAGCUAGGACUAGGCGUCUUCCGCGUCGUCGGUUUUGGACAUCGAGACGUUUUGUCCCCAUUGUUGACCCGCACCCUUGAUGACAUUUUUGUUCAUCAGGAGUCACCCAUGGCGGGUUUUGUUGUAGCCAGGUGGGUGAUUCAGACGUCUUCCUUCGUUCUUAUCGGCUUUUUCAUCUUUUAUUUGAGUUGGCUAUGUUUAGUGAUGUGAUAGUACGAGAUGUGAUUGGUUGACAUCCUUUACAGUUUAGACUGGGUUAGGUUAGCCCUGACAUUUGUAUGGGCAGGGACCCUGACACUUAUGUGGGCAGGGACGGGUCAACACUGAUAGGGCGAUGGAGGUGUGAUUGACCAGGCACCUCUCGUUCAGGUUGGCCGUACUCGCUGUGGUUGCGCUUUCGUGUUUCGGGCAGAGGUCUCACCGUGAGCACCCGCAAUGGGUUGACUCAUACGUCGCAUAGAGACAGCUCGAGUUAGUCCGAGAGCUUUCGGUUUCAGGUCAUUGAUUGAGUUGGACCAGAUUGUUGGUUGUUCAUUUCACAGGAGCCGUGUUAGAUUGCGGUUUUUCCGCUAUGCCCAGGUGGCAGUUAAGGUUGCCGUGGGUUAUCAGACUUUGUCGAGUUUGCUGGGACAUUUUUAGGUGAGCCGCAUGGUCGUGCUCGCAUUUACAUAAGAUUUGAUGGACCUCAUGAGCAGAGCUCCUAUGACGCUGUCAUGUUUAAAAUAUUGCCGAGGAUCUCGAUUUUUUAAAAUUUAAAAUUUGAAAUUUGAAAUUUGAAAAUUUAAAUUUAAAAUAUAAAAUAUAAAAUUUAAAUUUGAAAUUUUAAAAUUUGGAUUUGAAAUUUAAAAUCAAAAUUUUUAAACUUCAAAUUUAAAAUUUUUUAAAUUUGAAAUUUAAAAUUUUAGAUUUAAAAUUUAAAAUUUUAGAUAUUAGAUUUUAAAUUUAAAAAAUUUUAAAUUUAAAAUUUAAAAUUUAAAAUUUAAAAUUUAAAAUUUAAAAUUAGAAUUUGAAAUUUAAAAUCUAAAAUUUAAAUUCAAAUUUAAAAUUUAAAAUUUAAAUUAGUAGUUUAAAAAUUUAAAUUUAAAAUUUAAAAUUUGAAAGUUGACAAUUCAAAAUUUUAAAUUAAAUUUUUUAAAAUGGCAAAUUGAAAGGGUUUCGGGAGUUAGAGGGGUAAAAUUAUCGUUUUACAUAAUAUGUAGUAUUACCGGUUUUCAGUAAUGCAAGAUACACGACCCCCUCUCGUUAAUAUUUUUGGUGUAAUCCUGCUCGAUUUGUAAUGCUAUAUUAACGACUAGAUUACAUAGCGGAUGAACCAUACACAGUAAUCCUGGCGAGAUUACCUGUAAUCCUGCCAGGAUAACUCGAACCAAACACUCCGUUAGGUUAACUUUCCGUCAAGAAGUCAUCCAAUAUUUUAUAAAUACCAAUUUUACCCCUUGCACGAAUUUAACCAUGUAAUAUUUAAGAUUAAUUAUAUGAUUAAUUUUAAACUUCUGAAUCACAUAAUAAUUUAACAUUCUUUUUAAAAUUUUACAAUUAAAUAUCUAUAGUCUAUUAAGUGUGAUAGUUAAAUCUCAUUAUGAUUUUUUGCUUUUAAAUUAUAUAUAGUUGUAAUGCAAUUGUCCAUAGUAGUAUUCAACAUUAAUUAUUUAAAGAUUUAUUUUUUAAAUUUAUUUUUUAAAUAGCUCACAUAUCUCACGCUAAAAAUAUUUUGAUAUCAAAAUUCUUGAUAUUAGAGUAUUACUUAUAUGAUCUGCACAAACAAAAAUUUUUAUUUGAAAAUGUAUUAUUAAUAAUAAAAUAAAAUUUUAUGAAAACCCUCUCAUCGAUAGUCCACUUUGACAUGAUCCUAACUUGGAAAAGUGUGAAAUUUGAUUUUCAGAUAGUUAAAAUAGUUUAGAUCAUGUUUAACAAUGUCAAUUGUCAAUUAGGAAGUUUUAUCAUUGAAAACAAAUCAUAGUAAACCGAGUUGUACUGCCGAUAAUAUUGUAGCAAAACUCUCUCUAUAUAUAUAUACUCUCUCAACCUAAGUGUUUUUUUUUUUUUAAAUUUUAGCAAUUGAGUGCUUUUUCCAACAAAAUUUAAAAUUUUAUCAAAUUCAUGUGAGGGAUCUCAAUUGAAAAACUUUUAACUAAGUAAACUCCAAAUAAAAAAAAACUGAUAGUUCAAGAGCUCUUAAUGUUAAAAAAUAAAACUUAAAGGGGUCUAGUUAAAAAUGAUCUAUUAGUAUCACGCCCCGAGGCCGAUUUUAAAAGCCAUUUUAUAAUGAAUAUCAUUUUUGAAAUCAGAGUUACAGAAUACAUGCCAUAUAUAUAUAUAUAUAUAUAUAUAUGUAGUGUUCCUGAGCUUUGGAUAGGAUUGGCUUCAGUAUUAGUGACUGGUCGACAUUUCUGGAGAGUGUCGGACUGAGUCGGAGUCAAUUCUGCACGAAUUUGAUGCAGAAUUGGACUCGGCGCACUCAAAUAAGCAAAAUUGAAGUUUUGCCAGAUUCGGGCGCCCAGAACAUGGUUUAGGUCGCCCAGAACUGAGUGGUAAAUUAACUGAAACUGGAAGCCAAUUCGGACCCUAUGUUCCGGGCGCCCAGAAGUGGGUCCGGAAAUUCUACAUCGUGAAUAUCGUUUGCUUCGACGCGUGGCAGGGUGGUAGGUGAGGUCCGCCAGAGCCGUUUACGGGCGCAGCACACCGUGAGCGGAGAAUCCGAGGAGGAUGAUUUGUACAGCCUGGAUGUUUCGGUCGCCCAGUACAUAUAUAUAUAUAUAUAUAUAUAUAUAUACAGUGCGGGGCCUAAUGUGUAAAAGGCCCGUGCGGCUGUUUAGGCGGCAUAAUGUUUCCUUAAAAGGGAUAUAUGCUUCGCUAUUGACAUGGAUAUUUAGUAUGUCAUGAUGUUUGUCAUCAUGUCUCAACGAUCUCAUUUGUCUUCGAUUUGUUUGCCUCAAGGUAUAUGUAUCAGGUUAUGGUUUUUAUGUCUCGAUGAGCGUGACCGCUCAAUUCAUAUGAUACAUGUACUUGAGUUUUGUUUUGUAGAUGAACAUCAUUCCCAUGGAGAUCGAGCCGUGCAGACCAUCCCGAGAUUGAGCGCUGUGGGAACGGAGCUAGGACUAGUCGUUGUCGUCGUCGGCUGCUGCUACCGAGACGUUUUUACCCCAUUGUUGUCCCGCACUCUUGAUGACAUUUUGUUCAUCAGGAGUGACCCACGGCGGGAGUUGUUGUAGCCAGGUGGGUGAUUCAGAUGUUUUCCCUCGUUUCCAUCAUUAUUUACGACUUUAUUUUUAGAUGUCGAUGUAAAUAAUGUGAUAGUACAAGAUACGACUGGAUGACAUCGUUACAGUUAGGACUGGAUUAGAGAAAUCCCUGAUAUUUGUAUGGGCAGGGUCCCUGACACUUAUGUGGGCGGGGCGGGUCAACUCUGAUAGGUCGAUGGAGGUGUGAUUAGUCAGGCACCUCUCGUUCAGAUUAACCGUACGUGCUGUGGUUGCGUUUUCGUGUCGCGGGCGGAAGCCUCACUGUGAGCACCCUCGAUGGGUUGGCUCAUACGUCGCAUAGAGACAGCUCGAGUUUGUCCGAGGUUGAUCGGUUUCAGUACAUUUGUCCCAGUUUUGUCCAGAUGUUUGGUUUGGGUGCACGGGAGCCGUGUUAGACCUUGGUUUUGUUCUUAGACCCAGGUGGCGGUUGGGCCUGCCGUGGGUUGCUGGGUUUUGUCGGAUUUGAGACGACUUUUUUAUUCGAGCCGUGGGGUCGUGCUCGCAUUUACGGAAGAUUUGAUGGGGUCCAUAGGCAGCGUGACUAUGACGUUGCUAUGUCAGUUUGGUGCCGAGGAUCUCGAUUUAGACCAUCAAAUUCGUAUACUGUCCAGUUUUGCAUCCAAAAGAGGAUUCAGUUAAAAAGUUAAGGUUGUACACAUUUACAGUGAAUAAAUCGUACGAAUUUAAGUCCAAUGUCGGUGUCGAAUAGUGACUUAAAUUAGAUUAGUGUAAUAUCUGGCUUGUUGUUUUGUAUGUACAGCUGAUAUGUAGAUGAGUAAUGAAUCCUCAUUAGGCUACGUUUGGGUGGAGCUCUCGUUAAGGGACCGUCGUUCUUCCGGUGUUAACGACCUUCAGAGUCGACCUUAGUGGGUGUUGGUCGUUGGUUCGAUGAGCUUUCUAGAUGUAGGUUUUAGGUAGUUUUAGGUAGUUAAGUGGUUUUAAAAUCGUGAAUUCGAAUUAAUAGAAUUGAGAUUACAGUUUUGAGUGGAUUUCCAGGGGUUAAGUACACUCCUGUCAGGGUUUAGGUCACUUACUACUACUUCUUACACGGAGUCCAGGUUUUGGGGCGACGAAGGUUUCUAUCGUAGUUCUUGUUAAGUUUUUGGGUGUUAAGACAGGUUUAUGUUAUCGUCGUCUCAUUUUGAACUCAAGCUGGUUCGAUUGGAGUUGCUUUAAUACGUUAAAUCCCGAAACACCUAAGGAGUCCUUCAGAUCUUAGGUCGUUUGGUUCAAAGCAGCUUUAGGCUAUAGGGAUGCAGCGCGUGCUCGGUUUUGUGAUUUCUAGCAGCGACUUCUUGACGUCUAGUCGUGGAUAGUUCGAACCUUUAAGCUCCCAUCUUCUACUUUAGGUUCCCAAGUGAUGUUUCCUCCUCACUUUUCUCGAGUGGUCCCAGUGGAAGGUAGAUAAAUAUCCGACGACCCUCCUAUUUUAUUCGGGGUUCUCUUCGUCGACAUUAGACCACAGGGAUGUCUUUGCCCGCAAAGACCCGAGGGCCUUGGUANNNNNNNNNNNNNNNNNNNNNNNNNNNNNNNNNNNNNNNNNNNNNNNNNNNNNNNNNNNNNNNNNNNNNNNNNNNNNNNNNNNNNNNNNNNNNNNNNNNNNNNNNNNNNNNNNNNNNNNNNNNNNNNNNNNNNNNNNNNNNNNNNNNNNNNNNNNNNNNNNNNNNNNNNNNNNNNNNNNNNNNNNNNNNNNNNNNNNNNNNNNNNNNNNNNNNNNNNNNNNNNNNNNNNNNNNNNNNNNNNNNNNNNNNNNNNNNNNNNNNNNNNNNNNNNNNNNNNNNNNNNNNNNNNNNNNNNNNNNNNNNNNNNNNNNNNNNNNNNNNNNNNNNNNNNNNNNNNNNNNNNNNNNNNNNNNNNNNNNNNNNNNNNNNNNNNNNNNNNNNNNNNNNNNNNNNNNNNNNNNNNNNNNNNNNNNNNNNNNNNNNNNNNNNNNNNNNNNNNNNNNNNNNNNNNNNNNNNNNNNNNNNNNNNNNNNNNNNNNNNNNNNNNNNNNNNNNNNNNNNNNNNNNNNNNNNNNNNNNUCUGGAGAGUGUCGGACUGAGUCGGAGUCAAUUCUGCACGAAUUUGAUGCAGAAUUGGACUCGGCGCACUCAAAUAAGCAAAAUUGAAGUUUUGCCAGAUUCGGGCGCCCAGAACAUGGUUUAGGUCGCCCAGAACUGAGUGGUAAAUUAACUGAAACUGGAAGCCAAUUCGGACCCUAUGUUCCGGGCGCCCAGAAGUGGGUCCGGAAAUUCUACAUCGUGAAUAUCGUUUGCUUCGACGCGUGGCAGGGUGGUAGGUGAGGUCCGCCAGAGCCGUUUACGGGCGCAGCACACCGUGAGCGGAGAAUCCGAGGAGGAUGAUUUGUACAGCCUGGAUGUUUCGGUCGCCCAGUACAUGGUUCCGGGAGCCCAGAAACGCCCGUUUCUGUAGGGACACCAGAUUACAGCUGCUUCUCUUGGGGCUUAUUUUAUCCUCCCAGCAGCCUAUAAAUAGAUGGAAGGUGACCCUGGUGAGCUCUUUUCACUCCUCCUUUGUAGUGAACCCUUGGAUUUCAUCUUCUACCCUCGAAUUUCCAAGCUUGAUAGGUGCUGAUCUGCAGUUCUUCAGCGACGAUCUUUAGUGUUUUGGCUCGUGCGCGACGUAGGGAUAUCGGAUUUCGACGAAACUUGGUUUGCUGGAUUCUAGACUUCCUGAGGAAUCCACAAAGCCCUAAAUUGCAUAAUUUCGUUGAGGUUAGCUUGGUCGAACUCAAGUUUUACUCUGCUGCUAUUGUAUUUGGACAGAAUUGUGGGUUUUUGAAUUGUUCUUGAUGCUAUCUUUGGAAGCAGCGGGGUUUUGGACCUGAGGCACAUUCUUCAUCAUCAUUCACUGGAUUUGGGACUGUCCUCACAUGAAUUGGGGACCUUUAGGUGAGUUUUGACAUUAGAGUUAAGAUAAUUAAGCUUAAGUGCUAAAAUUUUGGUGAAUUGAUGGAUUUUGAUGGAUUUUGGAUGUAGAUCUUUCGAGUAGCUUGGUUGCUGGUUGUGGGUGAUUCCAGCUGAGACUUCCAGCAAUUGUGGCCUUCUUGCUGCCAGGGAAUUGCUCUCGAGGUGGGUUUGCAUCGGAUUACUCCUAAGUAAUGAGUAGAUGUAUAGUCGACAUGUAUGUUUUGUUGUUCGGUCUAUAAUGUGAUUAGAUUAAAUUCAGUGAUAAGCUGUGGCUGUAACCUGAAUUUAAGCAUG